rnacentral:lncRNA from 1 species
CUUUUAUUAUAGAAUAAAUCUAAGAUGAUGGAUGAUGGAUGCGUCACAUAAAAGUUAAUUAAUUUAAUCGCUGUCACUGCUGCUGCUGCUCUCGUGUCCGUCCUCGUGCUUCUUCUUCUUCUCCUUCUUUUUCUUCUUCUCUUCACCGUGGGCGGCGCCCUCGCCGCCGCCGACACCGGGGAUCUUCUGCUUGAUCUUGUCCACCAAGCCCUCCUUGUGUUCGCCCUCCUUGUGUUCCCCGCCGUGAUGCUGCUGCUGAUGGUGAACAUCAGUAGUGCCGACACCGGGGAUCUGCUGCUUGAUCUUGUCCACCAAGCCCUCCUUGUGUUCGCCGCCGUGAUACUGCUGCUGAUGGUGGACAUCAGUAGUGUGGUGGUCCCCACUAUGGUGCUCUCCCUUGUGCUUGUCCUCCUCCUUUUGCCCUCCUCCCAUGUGAAGGGCUUCUCCGAUCUUGUGAAUAACUCCUGACAUUUUCCCUUAAAAUGACUCUGUUCCUCUUCUUUUCUUUUCAAUGAAAAAUAGUUGUUUGCGAUCUUCUUCUGGUUGUUGUUGUUCUUGUUGGGUGAUCUUGGCUUGGUAUUUAUAGGCUCCAAAAGGAGGGACUAGAAUUAGGAUUAGAUUAUAGAUUAUUUUAAUACAUUUUAUGGCAAAUUCUGAUUUGGAAAGAUAAGAUUAUCCUUUUGGUUUUCCUUAUUUACCCUUUUGCACCCAUUACGUGUACGCGUCUUCGUGGGCUUUUUGGGUAUUUCAAUUAUAUCGCCAAUGCUAAAUCGACACGUUGCAUAUCAGCCGCGGUACUGCCGUAUGUAGUUGUCCAGAAAUCGAGUCGAUUCUCGAUCGUACAAUAAUUAAAUAAUAUUUCAUACGAAAUGAGUUUAGAUAUAUUUUGAAAAUUUAUUUUUAAUUUAAUUAUACGUGUUAUAUAUUUGUUAAUCGAAUAGAGGUCCCACGUAACAGAGUGUUUCUCUAAUCUUUCAUUGCUUUUAAUUAAUUUUACCCAAAUAAAAAAAAAAAGGAAAAUUUAGAGAGAGAGAGAGAGAUAGCGAAUUAGAAGUUGAUUGUAAUAUCGACACCUGUCAGACAAUCAAAUAUCGUUAGUUAAAAAUCAGUUGUCCAUAGUCAUGGUCAUAGAUGGCGAAAUUGAUACUUAUUUUAAAAAACAAAACAAAACAAAACGAAACGAAACUAAACUAACAGAUGUUGAAAUGCAGUUCCGUGUUAACAGUCUGUGAUGAAUCUUUAUCUUUGAGUAUACCAUUCAAGAAAUUAUCAUUCAAAAAUUUAUUUAAAGCAGCAGCAAAUCACCUUCUAAUUCCUGAAUCAAAUUAAUUCGAUUUUUUUCGAGUCGAUCAAUUCAUUAGAGAAUUAACGGGCUAAGUUAAAGUUUUGUUAGUUAUUUUUUUUUAUAUUCCUUUAGAUGAUAUGAUUGUCAUUGUCUUUCUUUCUCUGGGCAACAAUAAAUACAAGAUGUGCAAAAGCGUAGUGGAACAUAAUUCGAUUAUGGGUAAAGGGAUCAGUCCGCAUAAUGAGGAUAAAGUUUUUCUCUUUAAAAAAAUUUAACCCAAAGAAAAGGUCGUAGUUUGUAAUAGCCGACACGCAGAUAGAUCACAAAGCAUGGCGGUCCUGAUGGCAAUAACUAACUGAUAUCUUCUGCGAUGAGAGGAGAUCACGUGGUUCUGACACGUAUCGCCCCAUCAACUGAUGUUGUGGCUGCAAUCGCGGCCCAGUCUUUAGAGAGAAGAAAGAUCUGUUAUAACGGGACCUACUUUAGCAUCUAUUUACGACAAAGCCCCUAUUUACUCUACUUAGUAGUAAUAAUAGCAAGUGUCGGGCUUGGAUUCCGUGUUGCUUUAAAUAAAUAUCCGCGUAAAAAGAAAAUGCUUCUUUAAUCCCUUCCUUGUAAUUUUUCGACACGUGGAUGGUUGAAAUUAGCGUGCCGACAUCUUAGGAAUUUUAUCUUGGAGACGGGAACACUGCAGUAGGCAAUGCCAUUUUCUUCGGAUGGUGUGUGGUGACAACGCCUUGGAUUUUGACGUGCAAAGAAUUUAAAUUGAAAAAGAAAAAAAGAAAUUACCAGAAUAAGCAUAGAAGAGAUAUUUUUCUUUUUGUCCUUUUUGGAAUGGAAAAAGAGAUCAAGAGAUUGUUCCAGUAAGUAUUACACAUGUCACAGGCUUAUUCAUGCCCCAUUAUGGCAACUUUUAUGCCUCGCGGUGCCCUCGGUUCCAGCAUAAUAGCUAAGACUUCAAUUUUUCUAACAUAUUUUUGUUACAAAUAUGAACGGAGUAAAUGUAUAACUUUAAUCCUUUGAAUAAAGAAAUGGCGGUUCUCCUGCUCGUUAAUCUCACUUGAAUCCCACCCAGGCAAAAUUUCUUUAUUUUAUUUAACAACAAUUUAAAGAAAGAAACUUUUGCCAGGUUGAAUUUCAAGUGAGAUUCAUUCGUGGGAGAAGUGCCAUUUCUUUAUUCAAAAGAUUAUGGUAAUUACAACUUUCAAUUUCGACAUAAAUUAAAAUUAUAGGCUAUACAAUAAAAUUGCCCUAAAUUAGUCCUAAUCAAUUCAGAUUAUAAAUUUAGGUAUAUUUAUUAUUUUAAUAUAUUAAUGUUCUAUAUAUAUAUAUAUAUAUAUAUAUAUAUGUGUGUGUGUGUGUGUAUNNNNNNNNNNNNNNNNNNNNNNNNNNNNNNNNNNNNNNNNNNNNNNNNNNNNNNNNNNNNNNNNNNNNNNNNNNNNNNNNNNNNNNNNNNNNNNNNNNNNNNNNNNNNACAGCAGAAAAUAUUUGCUAUGGAUAAGGAGACAUGGUCCCACGUCCCACCGUCCCAAUGCAUAUUUUGUAUGUUUCCAUCUUUUCUGAAAUUUUAAUAAAUAAAGUUUUUUGACCACUUGGCCAAAGAACCUUACCCUUACACAACUUUGUGGUUGGAGUCCUGUGAUACAUGUAAGAACUUAUUUUUUUUCUUAAUUAUAAUAUUUUAGAAUAUAAUUAAGUGAAGUAGGUUUUUUUUUUAAAUAUGAGUAAAAUAGAUAUUUUUUAAAUAUUAAAGAGAGUAAAAUUUGAAUAAUAAUAUAUUAAAAUUAAUACAAACUAAUUUUAAUAAUUAUUUAAUUAUAAAUAUCAAUUAUAACAUCAUAUAAUAUCAAUUAUAAUAUCGUACAUCUCAAUUAAUUCAAUAAUAAUAAUAAUAAAUGUUUUUUGGGAUAAGUAAACAGUCGCAUGGCGACAAUAGUGGAUCUGGAUUAGAGUGAAGUGGUCCCAAGAGGCUGAGGCUGUGGCUGUGGAGUUCUAAAAGUCAAAAGCUCCACGCACUUUGUUUCAGUACCAUACACACUGAAAAAAUUUGCAUUUGCAAUGACGAAAACUUUUCACGAAAUCAAAACACCUCUAAACUAUUUUGUUAUCGAUAUUUAAUGGAGGGGUUUCCUACCUUUUUAACACUCGAUUCACGCCUUGACGCAUCUCACAGAAAACCUCAUGAUCCCAUUAAUCUUGCGUAACAUAUCUCAAAGCCAAUGCAAGUGAUCUUGUUGCCUACUUCCCUUUGACGAUUCAAAAUUGUUGAAAAUAAUUCUUUUUUUUUUUAACCUCAAGGAAGUGACAAAAUAUAAAAGAAUAUUUUCUACACAUUAAACAUCUAGAUUUUUUUUUCUUUUCUUUUUAGAGUACUUGCACAAACCGUUUCCAAGAGAGACCUUUUUUUUUUUUUUUUUUUUCCGGGCUUGGUUACUAAUUUGGUGUGAAUACUCUAUGGUGAAAAAGGAAUCACAAAGCUGUAAUCAAUUUUUUUGCAUCAUUUAGUUGUAACUUGAACAUUGGGAGGUUUAUAAAGAAUUAAAUUAAUUAUAAUGCCUCUACUAGGAAAAGUUCAGAGUAGCCCUUCACAACUUUUUAAAGGCUUAAUAAUUUUCGCUUUCUUCCUCUCAUAACAUAACAAAAAAUUAAGAGCUUUACUCGUACACGUCCUAUGGCUAUAUAGUAUUGGGUUCUCUACUUCAAUCGGCUAUCUCAAACCGAAGGUUAUUUGGACACACCAGCAGUCACGUUUGGAAACUCUCAAAUGCUUGGAUUGUAAUUCUUGUGGAUGAGAUCAUCUAAAUCUUGGGCCCAAGCCGGACAAUGGGUGGACAAAGAACCCUAAAAUACAGUAAAGCUUCUAACACCCCACUAAAACUCUUAAGAAAUCCUACCUUUUAUUUUUAUAUCUCUUUCUUUUAGAAAUUAUAGAGAAGACAUAGCAUUUUAAUUAUUUUCCCUGCCAUUGAAAAUAAAUUCUGUAAACAUAUUUUUUCAUAAUAAAAUUAUUGUUAUUAGAUAAUUUAUUUCUUCAUUGUUUCAAAAUUAUUAUAAUUUUAUCAACAAAAUUAGUUAUGUCAUAUAUUAGGAUUAAAAUUAAUUAGGAUCCAUAACUUGUAAAGACAUUUUAGUUUAAUUGAAUUCAUAUUUGUCAUUUUAUGUAAUUUUCAAUAAAAAUACGACUAUGAGUGCAAAAGUGGGAUGACAUAAUAUUAAAAGAGUGUGAAAUAAUCGGUAAUUGAAAUGGAUUGAAAUCAUAAUAGAGUAUGAAAAUCAGAAUAAAUUGUUUACUUUAGUUGUAGAAAUCAAAAUUAAAAUAAACCAUAUUAUCAUUGAUGUAUAUAUGUUUUCUUGUAAUCGAAAUGAAUUCUUAUAAGUUACUAUAAGACCCUUAUGGUGUGUUUACUAAUCAGAAAUCAGAAUGGAGUGGAAUUUGAAUAUAGAAUGGUAGGGGUAUUCGCGGAUCGGAUUUUACGGAUUGGACAUUAAUUCAUAUCCGAUCCAUAAUUUUACGGAUUAUAAAUUCUCAACACAAUCCAAAUCCAAUCUAUAUGUUUGCAGAUCGGAUGCGGAUUUGACUCAAUUCAUAUCCAAUCCACUAUUUGACGGAUUGAUUUUGGAAUUAAAAAUUUUUAAUUUUGUCCAAUCUAUGAGGUAAUUAAAUUUAAAAAUCUAAUAUAAAAAUAAUUUAUUAAAUAAAAAAUUAACGUAAAAAUAAUUUUACUACCAAUUAAAUUCAAAAUUGAACAAGAUUUAAAUAAAUUAAUUAUUUAAAUAAAACUAGAAUAAUUUAUUUAAAAUUUUUAAAUAUAACAUAUCGAAAAAAAAUUCAUUUGUUUAGAUUAAUAUAUGAAAAUUAACUAAAAUUAUGAAUUUAAAUGUUGAAAUUUGAGAGCUUGGAUGUAACAGGAAGAAAUUAAGAAACUUGAAGAACUUGAAAAGAAAGUAACAAAUUAAGCUUAACUACCUCUAAUGGUGAAGUGAAACAGUGAUGGUUUGUGCGUGCAAUGGGGUACAAAUUUGGCAUUAUAUGCCAAAAUAUUUUGUUUGGCUUUAGAAUUUUUAAUGUUUAGGAAGCUAUAUUUGUUUAUUUAAUUACUCAAAUAUUUAAUUAUUUUUUAUUUUAUGUUAUUAUUGAAUAAGAUAUAAUAUUGUGUUAAUUUAGCUAUACUUUAAUUAAUUAAUUAAUUUAUUAGUAAGUAGCAUUGCUACAUUUAUAAGUUUUAUUUUUUAUUAAAUAAAUACUUUUUUUUUUCAGAUUCACGAAUUUUUACGGAUUUACAGAAAUAAAUCCAUAUCUAAUCCAUCGACUGUGGUUUUUUAAAUUUUCAUUCCAAUCCGAUCUACCAAUCCACAAAUUAUAUUUUUACGGAUCGGACGAAUUGAGCGGAUCAAAUUGGGUUCUGAACACCCCUAGAGAAUGAGAAUCAAAAUAAAUUAUUUACUUUAGUUGUGUGAAUCGGAAUUGGAAUAAAUUGUACUGUCAUUGAUGUGUUUACUUUAUCUUGGAAUCAGAAUGAAUAAUUUCAAAUUACUAAACUGACCUUAAUUUUUUAUUGUAAUAAUAAUAGUAGUAGUAGUAGUAAUAGUAGUAAUUUUCUAUUAUUAUUAUUAUUUUCUCUCUCUUUUGUUUUUAUUUUUUUAUUUUUCUCUUCUUCUUCUCUUCCUCUUUUUUUAUUUUUCUCUAAUUCAUCGAUACUUCUUCUUCUUCUUUUUUCUUUCGUUUUUAUUUUUAAUUUUUCCCUUCUUUAUCGUUCCUUCUUCUCCGUCCAUUCUCUAUCUUCAAACUCUUUUUACUUUUUCUCUUAUUCUUCAUUACUUCUUCUCCCUUUUUUUUUUUUUUCUCUUCUUUAUUAAUUCUUCUUCUUCUGCGUCUAUUCUUCAUCUUCAAAUUAUCAAGUGAAAAAUACCCACGGUGCCUUACAAGAAGAAUUGGUUUUGUUUGCUUCAAUUAUUUUUUGUAUUUUGUACUUUUGAUUGUUUCAAAAGAGGAUAAACUUGUAAUAAUGCAAUUUAAGUAGGGAUGUUUUAGACAAUUUUGGGUAUGAGAGUCUAAUUCCCAACCCCCCACUCCCUCGUAGCAGACUCCCAUUCUUCAUUCCUAACUUGGUGUUGGACCUACUAAAAUAAAUCCCAUUCCCCUUCUUAUUUCAAGAAGCAAACACGAUUUUGAUUUCAAUUCCCCAAUCCGAAAGUAAACGCACAAAAAUUGUACCCAUAUGAGAUUGCUUAUCCUCGAGUUUUUAGAUUGAAAAAAAAAAAGGAAAAAAGAAUGGCCCCAUUAGGAAGGGAUUUUAAGUGUUAGAUAAAGCCGGUGUUAACCAUUAGAAGGUCUCCGACCUUCAACUGUAAUAUAUUAAACCCAGAUAAAUUUACAUAUAAAUCACACAAACCAACAUGCCAAUCAAAUAAAUUACAUCAACUAACAACAAUUGACACAUUAAUUUUCAUAAUACAGAGGAUGCAGAAAAUUAAAAUGUUUUAUCUUUUCUCCUUAUUUGUGAAUUGGAAAAUGAAAAUGUUAAACAUACAGAAGAGUGAAACAGGAUGGAUAUAUAUACACACACACACACACACAGCUUUGGAGUUCAAUGUCAUCGUAUUGCUCCAAGAAGAUUGGCGCCAUCAAGCUUUGCACCUUCCAGAUGCUGUUUAAUCAUCACCAUAACACCUUCAGUAGACAUUAAUACAUAAUAGAAACACAAAAUUCACAUGAUCUGAAUGUCUGGUCUAUUUUACUUACCGUAUCUCGAAGAUUUACGUGCCGUAAAUAAGCUCUUUGAAGGUUGGCACCCUUUAAAUUGGCAUUACGUAGCUUUGCACCCUGCCGCAUAAAUGUUCGAAGUUUCAACAAAUUAAAGUCUCCUGAGAAAUACAUGUCACGAAAAAGUAGGGCUGAAACUUGCAUCUAAUGUACAAGAUUCAAUCAGGGGUGCUUGUCCCACAGUGAAAGUGUAUGGGGGAAAGUGCACUUUCACAAACCAAAGGGGCAAGAUGUGAUUAUCACACGAUUACAAAAGGACUGUAGUCAAGAGAGAGAACUGAACAUGCAGCUUGUAUUGAGGCCAUGAAAAUUGAUGAAAAGCAGUAACAAGCAACCAUUUUGAAAACACUUCAUAUGGUCGAAUCAAUAAAUCAAAGCUAAAAUGAUGUUGACGAUCGAUAGCUUUUAGGUGAUAAGAGUCUUGGCACUACAGUUAAAAUUAUUAUCUAGGAGUGCACACAUUAAUAAAAAAAAACACAACCAAUAAGCAUGCACUCUUAAUCAGCAUAUAAAUUAACAAGUUAGUUGCACCUUAUGUUGUUCCACAAACAGAUUGCUCGAACAAUUCACAAUCUUACCUUCAAAUUAGCUCCUUCCAAAUUAGCUCCCUCUAGGUUGGCAUUAGUAAGAUCAGCAGUCUGAAAAGUCAAGAGGACAAACAGAUUGCAAUUUGAUUAAAAUCUCAAAGUAGCAACAUUCUGCAUGAAAGAAGAGCAGCACAAUUGGCAACAUACAUUUUAGAUUAAGAGGAUGGGAUAAAAGCAAAAUUACAAGGACAUGAAGCAAAUGAGCCAUGUUUAGUAUGGCAAUUUUGACCCAAUAAUUGUGGCAGGUCUUGGAGAUAACAUAGGCAUACACAUAAGGCAGAAGCAAAUACUGUCGCAAACUCCUAGCUAACUACAAAUGUUCCAUAUAGAAAAAAACACCUGCAAAAGUAAGGGAAAAAGCAACAGAUAAAGAACUCAAGAUGCUAGACCUGUAAGUGUGCAGAUCGCAGGUCUGCUCCACAGAAGCUGCAGUCUAUCAAGCAAGCAUCUGCAAUGAUUUAAGAUAAAUUUGAAUCCAAAUGACAUUUUACCGCAAGUAGUUCCAGCCAUUUUGGGAACAAACAAGAAAUGCUAUUUUGUAUUCAUUGUAAUUCCUUAAGCUAAAUAACAAUCAUGUGCUAUCUUAACCAAGGUACAGUUGCAAAUUCUGAAAUUGUGAUGCCAUAGGUUGUUCUUAAUCUUUUUGAACUGAAUAUUGAAAAAAUAUUCCUUCAAUCAUAAAUGUUAAAUAAUUAAAAGAACUGUGAGGGGGGNNNNNNNNNNNNNNNNNNNNNNNNNNNNNNNNNNNNNNNNNNNNNNNNNNNNNNNNNNNNNNNNNNNNNNNNNNNNNNNNNNNNNNNNNNNNNNNNNNNNNNNNNNNNNNNNNNGGGGGGGGGGGGGGGGGAAUGAAUAAGCGGAUGCAUACAGAAAAUUAUGGAAAAUCUGUUAUGGAAAUAAUAUGAAAAUGGGUAUGCAUAACUACAUACUGAAUCUUGACUAAUUUCAAUUUAAUUCAGAUAAGAAAUUCCAGUAUGGGAAUUGCCUUGUAAAUUUGCACUCUGAAGAUUUGCACCAGCUAGUAAAGCUCCACGAAGGUUUGCCCCAGCAAAUUCACAUCUUCCCUAGGCAAGAUAAAACCCUUAAAAGGCAAUUUUGAAAAAUACAUAUAAUUGGGAGAAUAUCCAGUAUUGCUUUGACUCUCUUACUCACGCAAAGUUGCAUUGUGAAAAAUGGAACCCUCAGCAUCCACAUCCUGUAUCAAGAACAGACAGAUUCAGUAUGAUUAAUAUAACUGGUUGCUGGAAGACAGGACAAAAUCGCAUCUUGUCACUGUCAACUUGCAUGUUAAGAAUUAAACACGAAAACUGCAUGCUGUCCAAUUAUAAGAAACCUAUAAAAUUCAAAUCAACAUCAAUACUGGCUUAAGGAAGAUAUAAAAAUAAAAAUUAUACCAACCCGAAAUUUCGCAGAUUGAAGAUUUGCACGUGAGAAGAAAACAUUUCUAAGACACGCAUAGCUGAAGUCCACAAGUGAAAGAUCCUGGCCAUUUUAAUAAGAUAGCAUCAGAGGAAACAAUAUCUAAUGAAUAUAUAAUGUUCUUUCUUGCUUAUCUGAGAAUACUAAUGAGAUUAUCAAAAAAACUCUAAGCUACUGCUAAGAAGUCUUGUGUUACAUGAGUAUGAAUUGAGGAGGUAAAGAAGACCCUUCUCCAAUAAGUUACCAUAGAAGCCACAUAAAACCCUAAAGCAGUUACAAACUUACAAUGACCAGAAUAAACCACCCCAACUAUCUAUUGGCAAGUAAAAUCACUUCUCUGGAUUUCUGAAAACUAGCAAAACAAAUGCAUAAAUUGGCAAAUUCGAUGAUUUCCUCUGAAAACCAAAUUAUAGCAGACAUAAAACUUGGAAGUAUUCAUAGAAUAAAAAUCUUUCAAGCACCUCAAUUCAGUAAUUAUUACCAGCUUAGAAAGAUCAAGGCCAGAAAGAUUAAGUCCUCGAAAUCUGACUUUUUCAGACUGUAUACACUUGAUGAUAUCAAUGCGUGUUAGCUCAGUAUCUAACUCAUUAUCUUCCUUUCUCUUAUUUAUGACAGCAUGGAUUCUCUCAAUUAGUCCCUGAAAUGAAACACAUUAGAUGCAAACUAUUAUUUGAAAAAAGAAAUACAUUUUAUCCACUAACACACAUGGAUUUCAACAGCAAUCAUACAAUAAUUGAGGAAGGACGGUCAUAUCAGACUCAUCUGCCAAGAUUCAAUAAGCACAUCAAACUUGUUUACAUGUAAUUUCCACAUUCCACGUGAAUUUAUAAGGUCUGCCUAAGCAAACCAAAGAAGGCUACACUCAGUACUGUGUGUAUACUGCCUUACCUUUGCUGUUCCCCAGAUACCGUCCUGCAAUCCAGAUACUUAGCUGUGAAGUUUCAAGCCAGCGAAACCAUUUUAAAAGUACACAUGGACACAGAUACCAUUAUCUGAAUCAUCUUCGAUAACAAAUUAAAAUGCCCUAGCGUUCAAAAAACUUAGGAUCUCUUUAAGUGAAGUUCCUUUAAAAAAGUAGAAAAAAACUGAACAACAAUGUCAUGCUAAUAAAAGGUAAAAAAAAUAAAAUAAAAUAAAGCAUAAGGACAGAAGUUCACCAGGAGCAUGCCAGUAUAAACCAAAACGACCACAAAUCUCAACCAUAAAAUUUAAAGUAGUAAAGUAAAUAAUCAAGGGCAUGCAGUUGGCACAGGUGCUUCCAAAUAAAAUGAUGAUUCUUUUCAAACAGAAAAAAGAAAUGGAUGUUAAUAAACUAGAAGAAACCAUGUCUUACAAGUAAUUGAUAAUAUUCUGCUUCCCGUAGAAGCUCUAAAAACUCUGACUCUGUUAAUGUGGGGACAGCCCCAUCCCUUAACCAAUUCAGAAUAUGCCGAAAAUGUUUUCCGUCCCUAUCAACAAAGAUAUAGCCCUGCAAUAAUUCAAUAUGCUCAAAGAUAAGAAUCUGAAUAAUAUACCCAAGAGAAGUGCUUUUCCCUGGAAUAAUAAAAAGAAAAUAAGUCAAAACGUUUUUCUUAAUGGAAGAACACAAAGGAACAGCUCUAUGACUAACAUGAAAACCAUAAAUCAGAAUAAGAACCCAAAACUGGUCAUUUGGAGUUUCACCAGAUCAAAAAGAUCACAUGGAAAUAAAAUUGUGAAAAUGGGAUUAUUUAUGCCGAGGUCAUGGCUAAACUGCAAUCAUUACUCCAUUUUUGGUAGAAGGAGAAGAAGAAAGAAGAGUAGGUGAGUCAUCAUUCUUUCAGGUGAGUCAUCAUUCUUUCUCUGUGAUUAAUUGAUAUGAUGGAAGUGUUGUAGAUAUUAAUUUGAUAGUGAUUCCUCCCUUCAAAAGAAUUCAUUCCUUUUUUUAUUAUUUCACAAAGUUUAACUAAGACUGAGUUUUCUCAAUUUGAAGGCAUCGUGCACUCUACCCCUUUCUUUUCCUCACAUUGCUUCUUCCCAAUCCCAAAGGGAAGAAAUCAAGAAACAAUUACAAUUUUUAACUAUUCACCAGCAAAAACAAGGCAAAGAAAGAUGCUGAGUGUAAGCAAAAAUAAGAGAGUUAUACACCUCAGAGUCUUGGCACACAGUAUGGCGACCGCUGAACAUAGCUGCAAGCAUAGAUUCAGGCUCACGACGAGUCAGAGUAUCAAUUGUUGUAUAAAAUUUCUUUCCCCCUGGAUAUUAAUACAUAAAAUAUAAAUUUGUUCACUUAAAAGCAUGAAUUGUGCAAAUUUGUCAAUAAUGUCAUUCUUUCACAAACGUUCACCGAAAUGUAUAACAAUAAGUGCAUCAUAACAUAACUAAACGGCUUAAGAACUGCGCAGAUAUUACAUACAGUAGAGAAACAAGAAAUAGAAAAUGAGAUUUGCCCUUUUUAAACAGAAAGCAAUCAAAGAGUAAACUAAAGAGCUAAUAAUUCACAAAAUUCAGUUGAUUAAACUCAUUUACAAGUAAUUAGCAACAAAAUCCAAGCUAAAUAAAAAUAAUGAAAAUUAGGUUCUUAUAACAUCCGUCAAUUCUAUGAAAGUUUACCACGAUCAGCAACAAAUAGAUAAAUCGCAAUAAAGAAAAACCGACGACAUGUCGGUUGUGUAGUGCAUAAGUAAAGGAAUUUGCAGAUGAUGUAAAGAGAAUGAGGGAUAGUAACUGACCGAUGUUGAGACGAACCAUUGAAGACGAAUCGGAGUCCUUCGCCAUUGUCGAGUGUAAUGACUUGUCGUCUUACUUGCGCUCAUAGGUAUUUAUAUCAUAGCUGACACUGUUCGAAGGACAGCAAGGAUUUGGUGGGCACAAAUGCAUUUUGGAAAUUGGGCUUCGGCCCAAGAAAUCGAAAAUCAGAGGCUUUUUUUUAAAAAAAAUUUAAAAGGAUUAGAAUGUCUAUAAAUUAAUAGGGCUGAGACCAUCUUAAAUCUAUUAAGUAAAAGAGAUAUUAAAUAUUUUAUUAAUUAAUAAUUUAUUAAUUUACAGAAUUAUUUAUAAUUCAAUUAACAUACAUUUAAUAACUAAACAUUCAAUGUACAUAAUUUCUGAUUACAAUUCAAAGCACUAACAAUACUUCAUAAUUUCUUAUUACAAUUCAAGAAUUCAACCUCAUAGCUUUUAGAUGCAAUAAGAAAAAUAAGAAAUAAGAUUCAGUUAUAUUUAAAUUUUAAGAAAAAAACAAUAAAAUCAUAUUUUAUGUAAUUAAAAUAUCAUAGUCAACUACAUUUGUAAUUUCAACAAAUUAUUACUCUAUGAUUUAAAUGAGACCACAAAGUUAUAUAAGAUUUUAUCGAAAUUAUUAAUUUAAUCCAUUAGUCCAUGUCAAGACCUUGAAAAUUUAAUAAUUAUAUAAUAGAGAUUAUUAAUUUAUCGAGUAUUAAUUUAUAGAAGUUCUGAUUGUAUAUUAUUUUAUAUUAAUAAAGAAUAAAGUAGCAUUCUUUUUUAAUUCCGAAGUAAUAAAAUUAUGGCUAAAUUAAGAGAGUAGAUAUAUUUUAUAACUUGGUUUAAUAACAUCACGCGCCUCCCUUGUAGUUUUGCAGCUUUGAAGCUUUAUAAUGAAUCCUAUUAGCUUUGGCUGGAAAGUUAUAUUGUUAAAGAGAGUUUAUAUAUUAAACAAGGUGAUCUAAUAUUUCCAAAACUAAAUUUGGGAUCAAAAAUAGAAAACAUUUGCAUGUUUUUACCUUUUGGAAGAAUUACUUGAUAAGUGCUUCACAGAAAAAUGCUUGCUAUUAUAGAGCACCCUAAAAAAAAUCCUUAAUAAUUGAGGGAUCAUAAUAAAGUUCAAUUCUAAAUCUGUCAGAUAGAUCGAAAGUAACAAACCAUAUAUAUUUAAAUCUAUUUAGUAAUCCAGGGUUACAAGCCAAGCGUGCAAUAGCCAAUUCUGAAAAUCAAAGCUCAGCCUAUGCUCUCUGAGCACAAAUAAGAUCUGAUAUAUACAUAUCGAAUCCUCCAUUAUGUGGAGUGAAAUUUCCAUCGUGUACGGUGUACCUAACAAUGAGAAAGCAUGGCAGCAUAAAUUCAUCUUCCAUGUUAUUCUACUUAUUAGUACUGGUUCCCUCAUAACUUCUCCAAAUCGGGGAGGUCUGCAAUGUGUAAAGCACGUAAUCAGAUAAAAGAAAGAGAGCCAAAAAAAAAAAAAAAGGUAACAGCCAAAAGAUUAAAUUUCUUUGAGAAAUAGAAAAUGGGAGCUUUUGGCAUAGGCACAGAAUAGAAAGUAACAGAGUCAUUUACAGUUGUUCAGAAUAUGCAAGCUGAAAACAACUUUGAAUGCAAUGGACAAUUCCUCCAACAAACAAUCGAAUUGGAUUGUGGAAGAGACAAAAGCUUAAUGAGGUUAUGGUUUUGGCUAGGUGAACUCAAAAUUCUUUUAUAGACCAAGUAGGUAAAAACAAAUCCCAUAUAGAUGGAUGAACCUCAUACCAUGAACAGUUAAUCGCGAACACUUGCAGGCUUAUGCACACGACUAUGAAGAUACUAAGGGUUUCACCGAUGGUAAGUGAAAAAUAUAUGAUGUAUAAUUUAAAUGGAAGCACAUAGUUUCGGAUUGAAUUCAAGGUUAAAGUUCCACAGACAGACAGAAGAGAUGAAGCUUAAAAACUUACAGAGCAUUCCUUCAUCAUCACUGCUUUCAUCAUUUUGGCCAACAUGCUGAAAAAAGAAUAUGAUUCAAGUUAAAUGAUUGAGCAACAAUAAAAAACGUGCAAAAUUAAUGCUCUCUCCACAAAAAUUUCAGUCUAUAUUGGUAAGAAGAAACAGGAAGAAAAAAUUACCUCAGCAUCAUCGUCAUUGGAAGCCAAAUCAGCUGUAAAGACCACAAAAUGUUUGGUUAGAACCAGUGGAAGUCUUACUCUAAAAUUUUUAAUUUUUGAAUUUCGAAAGAUCUCGUAAUGACAAAGAUUUUCAUAUCCAGUGACCAAGUUUUGAAAAUUAGAAUACGGAAUGACAUCAACUAAAUUCACUAAUAUAAGCUAGAGGAAUCCCUAGUAGAUAUAGCGCACAUGCACACAUGAUAUGCAUCCGAAUACACAAUAAUAAAUUAUCUCAAAGUCAAUAAGAAGCCAAAAUUAGAGAUAAACUUUUAGCCACUAUAAGGAAGACUGAUAUUUGCAGUGUGAUUACAAUAAACAAACAGAAACUUCACUACCCAUAAGUAAAACAAAAUAAAUAAAGGAUAAUAACUAACCAAGAAAUGGAAAAGCUCACAUUCUCUGAACACGCACCCCAAAAAGAAAGAAAGAAAUAAAUGUUCUCAUUGGAUCUGAAGCACAAGCAAUCCACUGACAUCCUUCUAUAAUUAGGUAAUUUAAAGGGGUUAAGCUCACAUCUUUUACGGAAGUAAGAAGAGAAUUAACAACCUUCCAGAGGAUUUAGGGAAAUACCACGAGGCAAGAAAAAAGAAAUAUCCUUCUUCAAUCUAGAUAUCCUGAUACUGCUCACCAUCUACAACAGUCUGUGGCUUAAAAAGCAGGUCACUGAUCUCUCCCUCCCUCUGGCACCAUUUUCUCUCAUGUCUCAUUUUUCCCUUCCUGCCAACUCCCACUACAGUAUUGAAACCUAUUCUAUCAACUCUUCCCCCUCCAAUAACAAGACCAAAACCAAUUUUACUCGCCGGUUAGCUAGGUAGUAAAUGGAAAUUUGUGAAUCUGUCAUUCAUCCGUAGAAACAAACCAGAACUGCAUAAAUUCUCUUCUCUCCCAACAGCUUCUUUUCUCCAGAAAUAGGCACAAGUAUUUGACAUGGAAACAGUUUAUCUAACAUGGCCACCUUUAAAGACAAAGACAUACUAAGGACGUGGUUUUAGAUACGGAUACAAGAAACAAUCACAAAAUGUAAAAUCUAUACAUAUGAUAUUAAUUUCCAAUGGAUACAGCAAUUCAUUCUUUGACAUAACUUCAUCAGAUUACUAGGUUUGAUUAGGUUAUACACACAUUUAUUCAUUUAUUGAAUCUACAUGCACUUAGAAUGAGAGGUACCUAUAAAAACAAGUUACCAGAAAACAAUACAGCUAGAAAACAUUAAUCUAAGUAGUUCUAUAGGUUUAACUAACUGCAGGAAAAAACCAUUGAUUUUGUCCGCCAGAUUAUCGAGAUCCUAAUUCUGGUAAAAAGAAAAUGAGAUAAUAGAAAAUCAAAAAUUAAAUAGACACAAAAUGAGAAAUCAAGAUCAUAUGGCAACUAAUAUAUAGCAUGGGCUGCAGCUAACAAGCAAUAUAAGCCAUGAUAUUAUGCCAGAUACAAAUUUUGAGAUCCAAGAGAGAUCAAGAAGCAUGAAUACCACUAAAAUAUCGAAAGAAGUGAGUGCAGAAGGAUAAGAAAUCAGGUUGAUAUUCUUCAUACUUUGGAUCAACACGUAGUGAUGCAAUAAACUUGUAAUUAGCUUCAAAUGUAUAGGCUACCAUGUCAACAUUUCCGAAAACACACAAGAUUGUGCUGGAUUCAUACAUAGUACAUAUAUAAAAAAACAAUCUGCUUCUAAACUUCAUGAGAACAUCGAAUAAUGAACUUACAAUUUGAUCCCUCAUCAUCUUCAUCGCACCAUUUGUUCCAAUCAACCUUAAUGUAAGGUGCUGGUUUCUCUUCUGACUUGAGUAGCCUUUUCCACCAACCUUUCUCUUCUUUUUGGACCGAGCAUAUUAUGUUCCUUAAGCCAACUUUAGUCUUACAUUUCUGCACCACCAGCAACAAAACUCAAAGCAUUACAAAAGAGGUAUAUUUAGCCGCUCUUGACUCGAGUGAGAGAACAGGAUAAAUAGCCUAGGUAUAUCCACAUCCAUGUUAUGAGAUUGAUUAUGCAACAGCUAACUUUAAUAUAAAGCUUUUGCUUCAACAAAGACUAAAAUGUUUGUAAUUGUUAUGCUUUUGGAGCUAAAAUGUUUGGCAAACACCCACUUUUACUCUGCACCUAAUAUCUACCACCCACCCACACACUAAGUCUCUCGUUUGGUACAGCUAUUUAUCAGUAGUGGCUUUAAGCCACAACAUUUAAAGCGAAUUUACCCUAAAAUUUUACAAUGAAAAACCUAUACUACCUUUAACAUUGUUGUCAAAAUUAUUAUUAUAAGUAAUAUUUACCAAACACUAUCAACUUCCAAUUCAUAUCAAAGAGCUUUCACUCCACAAUAGCCGUGUCUUCUUAAGCCAGAACAACACAAUACCAAAGGCCUUAAGCUAGUGAUUUGAUUUCACAACAACUGCAGAUCAAGCCUCAAUCCCAAACAUACAUAAAUCAAAUGCAGAAAGCAAAAAUUUAACAAUAUGUUUGGUAUACUAAAUGUCUUUCAUAGUUUCAUUUCACAGGGUAUUUAGACAUGCAAUGAUAAAUUGGAGCAAUUUCAAGAACCGAAUUGACCUCAGGUAAAAUUUUGCCAAAAAGUUCCAAGCUGAAGUCGUAAAGCUCGCCUUGGACUCCGACGGCCGAGAAGCCAAAAAUCCCCUGAGGCUCGCAUUUCACAGAAAUGUCUUUCGCAUCGGGUAAUGAAAUGGUAAGGUAUACUUUAUCGGAGCGCUGAGCCCAAAGAACCUCCGGAUGGCGACUGAACAUAAAAGAAAUAAUAAUAAUAAUAAUAUUAUUAUUUUUUAUUGUGACAAUUUUGAACUAAUAAUUAGAGACAUUUAACAACAAUAUUGAUUAAUAUUGGAGAAGAAAAAUAAGGUUACAAGAGAGAAUCAGAAAGAUUACCUCAUUCUGGUGGAUGAUUGAAAACGGUGGGUCGAUUGAUGAACAGAAGUGUAACUGUCUGGGAGUGAGAGUGACUCUGCUGUUUACUGGGUAGAGUGUGCUUACUCGAAGAAAUUGAAAGUGAUAAUCUCGGGCAAGCCAACACGUCGAUUUGGUCAACAGUGGUCCAACAAACCAGGAACUAGGUUUUUUUUUUUAAAUGAUUUUUUUUUUCAGUAUUAUAUUGCCCCGCCCGUGGGCUAUUACAUUUUGGCCCUUUUGGGGACCCCUCGUUCUCUUACAAGAAGGGAAUAUUCUUUUCCAUCCACCGGUUUGUAGGCAGAGUACAUAUACUCUUCGAAAUUAAGGACAAAUUUCUGAAUCGUGCCGCAUUAGAAUUAAAUUGAGUCUCAAAAGAAUUUUGGUUAUAAGUAUAUCGUUCAAACGGUAAUAUAUUAAAAAAAAUAAUAUUUACUACAAUGUAGACCUAUCGGGACUUUGAAGCCCAGACCAAUUCUUGAGUCUAGCCUAAUAACACCUCAACAGAUCAAAAUUGAAAUCCAACUUAAAUUUCAAUAUUGUGUAGGGAUCUGCCUUAAUUUAGAUAUGUCAAGACCUGCCUUAGGCAUCAAAGUGAUCUAUCUUAACAUAACUAAGACUUUCUUUAAACAUCACAAUGAUUUAUCUUAACGUAGUCAAAUCUAGCCUAAAAAAAUCUAAAGAAGGAAAAAAGAAAUUAUUUUCACGUAUUGAGAGACUUAAAUUCUUAACCUUAUUCAUAAGAAAAAAAAGUGUAUUACUUAACUAAAUCGUGACUAAAAAUUAUAAUUAUUAUUUUUUGUACAUUUAGCUUUAAAAAAUCAUUAUAUAUAUAUAUUCAUAUAAGUUUUGACAUAAUAUACAUACCACUUAUUUGUUUUUUAAAUUAUACGAGAAUGAAAAAACUCAAGCAUUAAACACCAACUUUUGUUUCAUGCUAUCAAUCAACUUGAGAAAUUUUAUAAUAUAUCGGAAGUUCUACGUCACAAUUUAAUACGAAGCCUUCGAUUAAUAAUAAUUAGACACAUGACAAUAGAUGCUAGAGAAAUUUUAAAUUCCCUCUUUUCAUUAUCCCUCCAAAUUUAGAAUUUCAAAAAAUUAGAGAAUAAAUGUUGCUUGCUCUCUUUGUUAUCUAAUUCUAAUUAUUAUUUUUUUCUCUCUCUCUCCAAUCAAGUUGCUAGCAUUUUUUAAAUCUAUUGAAGAAUAAGAAGAAGGUUUUUGUCGAUGAAAUGAUUUUGGCAGCCUUUUUUACCCAAAGCUAACAUGAUUGCUGCGACUACCAAUGAAGAAAAAGAUGUGUUUUGCUGGCGAAGAAGAUGAUUUUUGAAGCAUGAGUGGCUGCCGUUUAUUUUUUUCCUUCAUAUUUUUCGAUGUAGUGGCUGUCCUCAAGUUUUAUUCAUUUACUUUUCAGUUGGCCUACUAUUUAUUGGCAUAAUGAAAAAUUUUAUUUUAAUAAGCAUUUAUAGAUUAAUUUGAGGAGGUUUCUUUUGCAAUAUUAGUGUGGUUUCUGCAUUGGUAUGAUUUAAAUUACGAACUUGCUACAAUCUUUAAUUAAACUGUCAAAAGUAAUUUAAAAAAUCUUUAAUUAAACCGUCAAAAGUAAUUUAAAAACUGACAGUAGAUAGAUUAGAGAUAGGCUUGACAAUUUAGCCCGACUCUAUUUUUAGUCUGAUUGAUCCGAUCCUAAUUUUUAAGACUUUGGCCUGAAUUUUUUGAUUUCGGGUCGGGUUCGGGUCAAAAUUUUAAGGCCCGAACAAAUUUAGGGUCAGGGUCGGACUUAAAACCAACCCGACCCGACCCUAUUUAAAAAAAAAAAAACUAACACACGCACACAACACAUGACAGUUCACUCUCUCUAAAUCGUAAAUCACACACACAAAAUACACUUACACAAAUUCACAAAAACCCUAAGCCAGCCACCCAGCCUGCUGCCGUCCUAUCAGCCAACAUCGUGACCGUCCGCCGCACGCCAGCCAAUCAGCCGUCGUCUCGUCGUCGCAUGUCUCACCAAUCAGCCAUCGUGACCGUCUGCGACGCUGCGACAUGAACUUGAACCAGCCGCCCUUUGUCGCCGUCCUGCCGCAUCCGCCUGCCAGCCAACGAUCAAUGCACACAGUUGAAUUGUGGGGUGGGAAAUGGUUUCGAUAGGGUCGGGCUCGACCCGACCCUAACUAUAAAGAGGUAGGGCUUUUUUAGGGUCGGGUUUUAAUUUUUUGUUGAUCGGGUCGGGUCGGGUUUGGCCAAACCCGAGCCCGACCCGACGUUUUGCCAUCCCUAAUUAGAGAUGAAGAUUGGAGAGAGAGAAAAAUAUAAUUUGAAUGAGAUAAUAAAGAGAGAAGAAAUUCUAUAAUACAUCAUAAGUAAUAUAACUCAUUGAUGUAUGCAUGAUAUAUGUAAUUAACCUUAAUAUAACUAACACUUGUAUGGUGAUAUUUCAAAAUAAAUAUACAUAUGUUAUAAAAUCAUUUACUUAUUGUAUGACUGACAUUUUAUUUUUGAUGUAUUGUACAAUUUCUCAGAAGAGAGUAGUAUUUAUUAUCUCUAAUUUUUUGAAAUUCUAAAUUUUGGAAGGAUAAUAGAAAGAGAAAUUUUAAAAAUUUUUCAACGUAUAAUGCCAUGUAUCUAAUUAUUAUUAGUCGGUGUUCCACGUUAAAACGUAAUAUAGAACCUCUGGACCUUACUGUAUAAUGUACUGUAGAAUUUCCUGAUCACACACUUUCUCAGUUGCAAAAGAGGUGGGCAUAUGAGUUCCUUACGGGGAUUUAGUGUGAAUCCACGCAAAGCCCAUAUAGAUUUUUCCGGUUAACCGCUAUGGCAUCCUAGUUUUAAACUCAGUACUAAAUUUACAGAUCCAUUUAAACCCCCCAAAUCAGUCUCUCACCGUCUCAAGUCUCAAACAAAAAACCUGACCGGAACCCAAACCGCCAAAUCCGAUUCGAUGGUGGACUGUGCUAAAACCCCUAAAAUUCCAAGACUGACAUGCGGUAAAGGAGAUGGUGAUAGACUUAGCAAUCUUCCGGAGCACAUCAUUUAUCACAUAUUCUCGUUCAUGGAAACAGUUGAUGUUGUUAGAGCAAGCACUGUUUCGCGAAGAUGGAGGUACUUGUGGCUUUCCGUUCCUUAUUUGAACUUCGACUAUCACACAAUUUGGUCAGACCCGGAAAGUAGAUGGUCUCGUAGGAAAAUCAAUGAUAAGUUCAAAGAUUUUGUCAACUGGGUAAUAUUUUCUCAAAAUGGGUCUGUUAAUAUUCAAAGAUUUCGUCUUUGCUGCUGGGAUUAUUUAGCAAGUUACGAUAACGAUAGAACGAUUUACAGAUGGGUUUCUGCUAUGGCACGUCGAAACGUGCAAGUGCUUGAUCUGGCUAUAGCUUCACUAUACCCAUUUGAGUUUGACUUGCCACAUAGUCUUGUAACUUGUGAUUCAUUGGUGGAACUGAAGUUGAGUUUGAGCUUUCAUGUUCACCGAUGUUUUUUAAAGCUGCCUACUGCUGCUGGUUUUAUUGGGCUCAAGUCUCUUGAUUUACAAAGUGUUGCGUUGGAUGAUAAUUUGUUUCCUGAAUUUAUUUCAAAUCUUCCCCUGCUUGAGAAUUUGUGUAUGUUGUCAUGUGUUUUUCCUGAAUUGAAGGUUCUUGACAUUUCUUCCACUAAUUUGAAGAAUUUGGCUCUGGAAUCCAUUGUUGGCAAUGAUAAUGCUGGCAAUGAUGAUGCUGGCAAUGAUGAUGCUGGCAACUACAAGCUUAAGAUUGCUUGUCCAAAUCUUGUGUCUUUUAAUUAUAUAGCUUUAGCUCCAUGGUUACCUCACUUUGCUUUUGAGAGCUUAAACUCCUUGCAAAAUGCAUUCAUUGACCUGGAUGAUUAUAACGAGGAUGACAUGGAGAACGAAAGAUGUCAUGUUUUAUCUACAAUCUUCAAUGACUUUCGUGAAGUUAAAGUUUUGAAAUUAUCAGAAGCCAUUCUUCUCGAGGUAUGAUUUCAAAUACAUUCAUUGCACCAAAUCAUGAUUCUGCCAGAACUUGUCUACACUUUUUUAUUUUGACAUUAGAAAUGAAGCUUAAGUAAACUGAAUCUACUUUCUUUGUUUGGUAAAAUAAGAAUUCUAUUGAUUAUGGAACCUUCCUAAAUGCUAAUUUGUUCUUUAGACUGUGUAUAAGUCAUUGUGACAUUGUAUGAAGUCUCAUUUAUCUGAGUAAUCAAUUGUUAUUGAUGUCAAAGACUAGAACUCAUUGGUGACUUGAGUUUAUGUAUAUUAUCGUUUGUUAGAUUUUUUGUGUGAUUAUUGCACUUAACUUGACUAAUGUAUUCUCUUUCUUUUUGCCAUUGUUCCUCCAGGUUCUUGAUCCUGAUCCUGCUCACGAAGAACCAGCAUUUUUUUCCACUUCAUUCAAUAAUUUGAAGUCCUUAAUACUUUCUGCAGGUCCGGGUGUAUGUCUCAUGCCAUCAAUGCUUAGGUUGCUCAACUGCUCUCCAAAUCUAGAAGCUCUUGCAAUAUAUUCUCCUAAGGUAAUCUUAACACCAAAAACUAUUCCAUUUGUUAGAUACCGUCGCUUCUAUCCAUUUUUUUUAAAAAUCAUAUCUCCCAUUUAUGUGCUAAAAUUUUAAUUUUGUUAAAGUGCAACUGGGCUUUGCUUAAAUUAUCGCAAUAGAGUUGAAACCUGAAAGUAUUUGUGAUAUAUUAUGUUUACCGCUUAGAGCUUAAAGUAAAUGUUAAUCUUGUGGCCUCUUGGUUGUUCCCAUGCUAUUGCUUGUUGAGCAGAUGGUUGAAUUUAGAGUCAAUCAAUCGGUUGUGUUCUUCUGAGGUUUGUGCAAGUUUUGUAAAAGAGCAAAGUUUAGUAUUUGUUUAGUUUGUGAAAAUGAUAUAGCUUUUUCUAAUUCAUCUUACUCUAUUCUUUGCUUAAAAAUGAAUUCUCCUUUUGAUUUGAUUCCUUGACUGCAUUUCGGUCUGUUUUCUCUUGGCAGCAUCGGCGUGGAUAUAAUGCUUAUAGGAAAACACCGAACAAGGCUGCUAUUUCAUGUUUGACAAAUCAUCUCAAGACAGUUGAAAUAAAACAUUUUAGCGGUGAUAUGAAUCAACUUGAAAUUGUGAGGUUUCUUCUAAGGAAUGGACAUGUAUUGCAGAGAAUGAGUAUUAGAUGGGUGGCAGAUGUUAAGAAUCAAGGGAAGAUUAUCUCAAGGAUAAUGAAGUUUCGGAGAUCAUCUUCAAGUGUUGUGCUGAAAUUCCUAGAUCCUAAGCCAGCUGAUGAUUUUUCAGAUUAUUUAUUUGAUGAUGAGCAAAAGAACUAAAAUUAUGUUUAAAUUAAAAAAAAAAAAAGUGGUUUAAGUGUAUGUUCGAAUUAAAUAGUCUUUUGGAUUUGUAGAAACUGAAAGGAGUACAGUGCCAGUCACUGUGGCAGCCUUAUGUUUUGUUUGAAAAAAUUCGGAAGCUUCUAAAUUGUUAUAUACCUCAAUUCUGAAGUCGUUAGUAUGUAUAUUAUAAGCAAUACAUAUGUUCCAUUUGUCAUAUUUUAUUUUGGCAUUACGAUUGUUUUGUCUUGAUUAAUAUUGAUUAUAAUUUGUUUAACAUUUAUCUGGCAUAUGUAGAAUUAUACUUUAUCUGAGUAGAUGACGCUGCUGCGUACAUCUUCAGGACUCGGUCAUAAACUGUUUAUCUCUGCGUCUGUCUAGCAUCCAUCCACGUAUGACCUGUCGGCUUUUUGCCCGCAAGCAUACAGUUAGGGGUGGUAAAAAUAUCUGUCCGGUCUGGAUUCGGUUCGCACCCGGAUGUUUUAUCCGGCCCGGUCUUGGGCAUCAUUUGAUAAAUUCGGAACCCGAGUUUUAUUAAGCGCCUUGGCCGUACAGCAGUAUAUUAUUUUAAAUAUUUAUAUUUAUUUGACUCAUUUAUUACAUAUAUAUAAAGUUUUAGACACUUAAAGUUUAUAUUUUCAUGUCAAAUUUCAUUAAAAUAAAUUUAAAACUUAUAAAAUUACCAAAAAAUAAAAAAUAUAUACAUAUAUAAUAUUAAAAAAUAUAAAAUCUGGGUACCCAAAUUAAAACCCGGCACAAUCCGACCCAGGCAUCUAUGCAUCCGGGUCGGGUCCGGUCAUUACGAUACCCCGACCCAGCCCAGGGUUUUGCCAUCCCUACAUGCAGUGUAUAUGAAUUGCAGUUCUUGUACGGACAACAUGUCAUCCAUAAAACUCGAGUUAUGUUCUUUUUAAUCUUUAGUUUAGAUUACAUUUUGCAAAACUAAUAAACGAUAGAGCUCCUAGCAAGGUCAAUAGUUAACUGCGAAUCCAGAAGAUCGGAAUGCUAUACCUUUCAAACAUGCAUUUCAAAGCCAUCUGCGGAAAUGGAAAACAAGCAUUUCAAACUCGUUGUUAAAACAAUGAUAAAAGUAAUUUUAAUCCUAAUUUUUAAUUCCAGGCAUGAAGCUAACUCAUAUACAAAGAGAUAUCAAGUAAGCAGAGGCGAAAGCUAAAAGCUUUGGUUACAGGGGUCGGUGUGAAUAAUGUAUAUAUCGUUUAGACAUAUUUUUGAAUAUCUAUUUUAAUUUAGGGGAUAUUAUAUAUAUUUAAAAAAAAUUAAAAUUUUUACGGGAGCCAUGGCUUACUAUAGUCUCCAUUAAGAUUCACCCUCCCUACUUUUCGUACUUCAUUAAAGUAUAGGAUAAAUAUUUACAAUAUUAUAAAUAGAUUUUAUAAAAGCAGUCCAUAUAUGAAAGUCCUUCUGCACUCUGAAUUAAAUAAAAAUAACGUGAGACUAACAAUUUAAGAGUCUUUUUUGCAACGUAUAUCGUGCAGUGAUGUACUCUAUCGACGGAGGACUCUCUUCAUAUGCUUUUUAUUUUUCCAUGCCUGAUUAUAAAUAGGAUCACUCUAUGUUACAUUAAACGUAACGUACACACACUCACAACAACAGUAACAAGUCCCAUCAUUAGAACUGUUGCUGUGAGUGCGUGUAUGUUACGUUUAACGUAACAUAUCACUAGCCUUAUAAAUAACAUCACUUUUAAGGAUUUUUACAAAUUUUUAUUACAACCGUAACUUUUGUCCUCAUACAAUAACGGUGUCCAUUGUCCACAUAUAAAAAGUUCAUCAAUAAACAUAUAACCUAAUUAAAAUUCGUGACAAAAUCCAAAGGAAAGAAAGCGUGGAGUAAUAUAUAUAACAAAGGCAUUGAGCAUACACCAGGUGUAAUUUGCAUUGCAUGGCCACCCUUACGUGGCAGUUCCGCCGAUUAACACAUCUUUAAAAGUUAAAGCCCCCCUCUCUCCUUGUUAAGGGCGUUUCAACACAACACUCAUCAAUGCAAGCAAAGAGACAGUGAAGGAAAAAUUAAGAAACCAAUAUUGUCACUUGGAAGAAAGAAACAAUCAUUACAUAUAUAAUACGAUGGAUACUAAGAACAACAGGAAGCAUUUGUCCUGCAUUGCCAACGACGUCGUUCACAGAUGUGCACUGUACGUAUCUCUCUCUCUCUCUCUCUCUCCUUUUCUUUUUCUCCCCGAUCACUUUGUUUUCUUUAUAUAUACGAAUGUAUGUAGAACGUAGUAGGUUUUGUAUAAAUAUCUGUUGCACACAUUAUUUGAUGUGCAUUUAAAUAUAAUUAAUGGUAAUUGAGAUGACACACAAAGACAAUGCAAAAAAAGAAAAAAAAAGAGAGAGUAAAUUAAUGAAUUUGCCUUGAUCCAGUUAAUUUGUGUGCAUUUAGCUGACUGUAAGGUGGUUUCGAGUGUGUUUUUGUUUGGCAACUUUUCACACAAAAGCACUUUUGGGAAGCACUUUAUGUAAUGUAAGUGCCUCUAAAAACUGUUUUAUGUAUUACUGCCAAAUGCAGUGCAGAGGUUACAAUGGGAGGGUCGGUUUUAUACCUGUUCUUCGAGACUUAAUUUCAAUAGGAGAUUGAAAUAUUUAUGAGAAUUAUGUUGUUAGCAGACUUAAUUCUUUUGGAGGAAUUCAUUCCAUCGUAGACCACUCAAUGAAUUUGGUCGAUUGAGAUUAUUUGAGUGCAUGCUUCAAAACUGGAGCAUUAAUUCUUUGACAUAAAUGGGCUUUAACAUAAGGCGCGUUCGCUUAUUCCAUUUAUUCAAGAAGUUGGCACUCAAUUUUUUAUUACUAGCCUUUAGAUGGCCAGCAGCCUUUUGUAGCCCUUUCUAGUUUCUACUAAAGUGGUUAUGUGCAAUAGUUCUAUUCUGGGUUGCAAAAUUAUUGUGUCAGUAGAAUCCACAUACAUUAUGUACUUUUCUGUAUUUAAUUUCAAGAGGCUUAGUUAUAUCAUAGUUUUAGGAUUAUAAUAAGUCUGUCCGUUACCAUGUUAUUGGAAUUUUUUUUUUUUUCUAAAUUAGUUGGACACAUUAUUGGAUUGGUCAAUAAAGGAAAGCAUUUGGCAAGUACUUGGUUUGAUAUUAACAUAUAGUUGCAGUAAAGCACAUUAACUUGUGCAUCCUGAAAUUCUUGCAGGCAAGUAAAGGCUUCUGAGGAUUCAUUGGUGGAGGGGUUUGAAGCUGAAUGGAAGCCUGAAAUCGGACAGUAUUCGAAGAAAUUUGUGGAAUAUUGCAGCAUAAAGGCUCUUACUAACAUGUGCCAGAGCAUAGAAGAAAAGAUUAGUGAUGGAUCAUUUAGUCGACUCACAUUUGAUAUGAUGCUUGCCUGGGAAAUGCCUAGUGCCGCCGAUGAGGAGUCUCAUACUGUAAGCAAUCAUCAUAAUACUCAUAUCCUAUAUUUAUUUCAUGGUCCACCAAAUCAUUAUGAUAUUAUCCCAAUUUUGGUGUGCCUAUCUUCUCUUCAAGUUGCUUCUUCUAUUUCUUUUUCAUUAUACAUUCUCUGGUUCUCAUCAGUUUUCGCUCCAAUUAAAAGAAGCAUGAAUUCUUUCACUUAUCUGCUGAAUCUGUUCUAAUGAUUGGGCAAUAGAUUUUUAUUCCUCUCUGUGGUUACUACUAUUUUGAUCUUGUGCAGGAGUGCAUGGGAAAGGAGAAUGAGGAUAGAAAGGCUGUAAAAGUCACUUCAGAUCAUGAUGAAAUUCCUCUCUUCUAUACAGACAUCAUGCCUCUUCUAGUAAGAGCGUCUCUUUCUGAUCAUUUGAGUGCUAAUGUACCGACCAAGCAUUAGCCUUCACUGAAACUCGUAUAUGAUUUCAUGAACAUUGAUUAAUUGUUAUUUUUGCUAACUACUCUAUGAGAUCUGAUCAAAUUAGAUAUAUAAAUGUUGCGAUUGAUCUUGGAUUUGCUUUAUAUUUGGCCAUCAAUUAUAUUUUACUCUUCAUUUUUAUAUUUGUUUGGUUUGAUAAUUUACCCUCUGGCCCAUAUAUAUGAUGGUAGGUUAAUAAUGAACCGAGUGUUGGAGAAGAUGCAUUUGUAUGGAUGGGAUCCUUAGUUCCUCUAGUUUCAGAUGUUAUUAAUGGGAGAUUUACAUAUGAAAUUCUGACAGCGCCAACAGGAAACCGGCUCCAUUCUCCAGCAUAUGAUAUAUUUCUAAAGGAGAUGGACAAGUAAUUCUUCCAAUUCUUCCAUGCAGCAAUUUUACCACUCAGAAACUUUAAGUGCCGUUUGGUUUUGUGACAUGCAAAUUAUCAUGGAACACUCAAAAUGAGUUGUUCUUAACAAUUUCUAGAAUUUGCAAACUCACUAACCAUAUCUGAAAAUGCAGAAGCAUUAUUACCACUUAUUGAUAACAAUAUCUCUGCUCGACUUGUUUGGGUGCUUUCAGCCGUUUUUCAUUUUCUUUUGGAAAUCUUGAUUUCAUAGAUGCAUAAAACAUUUGCAAAAACAAGCAACUCCAAAGGGUGUUGAGCUGGCUGACGAUGAAUUUAUACUGCAUGUGGAGGGAACUGCAAGCACACAGAGAGUAGUGCGCCAUAUUGGGAAAACAAGUUGGCCUGGUAUGUCUUUAGUUUGAUGUCUUACAUCUUUUUAACUGCUGUAGAAAUUGUUACUUGGAUUUUACUAAUCAUAAUUGUUGUCUCUAGGUAGGCUCACACUGACAAAUUAUGCGCUCUACUUCGAGGCUUCGGGAGUAAUAACAUAUGAAGAUGCUCUAAAGAUUGACCUCUCAAAAGAUGCUGAACUAUCUGUUAAACCAACUGCCACAGGUCCAUGGGGUGCUCCGCUUUUUGACAAGGCAAUUGUAGUCGAGUCCCCUGAACAGUAAGCAUAGUUGCACUUAUAUGAAAUUACUGGAGCUAUUAGCAUCGUUAUUCUUAUUUUAAAAAUUGUUAAAUGCUUGGUAGUUAUCCCAUAAGCUAGAUUUUAAAUGCAUAACAUACAAGGCAGACAUCAGAAAGCAUUCUGAUUCGUUUAUUAAAGUUUGUCUUUUAUUAAGCUAAAGAUAUUAAUGCUGCUAGAUUUUUCUAAUUUGGUUGUAGAUAUUGGUUAGUUACACUGUCAAAUGAGCAAAUCUCGUGGAUAUUUCAUAGUGUGGUUAUGCAAUUGUUUUUUGCCCUUCACUUUUCUAGAUCUGAGGGAAUUGUCCUGGAGUUUCCAGAGAUAACUAGCUCGACAAGGCGUGAUCAUUGGCUGGCCCUCACAAAGGAGAUAAUGUUAAUGCACAAAUUCCUGUCAAAAUUCAAGGUGGAAUGUCCAAUACAAGCAUGGGAGAUGAAUGCAAGGACAAUACUUUGCAUCAUAAGACUCCAUGCAGCAAGAGAAAUGCUGAGGAUAUUGCCUCCAGAUCCCACAAAAUUCUUGAUUUUUGCUUUGUAUGAUGAGUUGCCAAAGGGAGACUACGUGCUAGAAGAGCUUGCUGAGAGUCUGAAGAAAGUUAAUUGUGGACAUCCUUCCAGUGCUAGCUCAAUUCUGAGAUGUAUGAACCUGUCAAUUGCCGCAAGUGGAGAAGUAAAAGAAGGAAAAGAACUGGAGGAACAUAAACAUAUAAGUGAUGAAAGCUGUUCAUCACUGGAAACUGCCAUCAAUCAAUCUAAAGAGCAAGCAAAGGCAAUUGAAAUUGCUAAGUCUACCACUGAGGGCCUGAAAGAUGAAGGGAUCAGUGAUAGUAUCCUUGUUCUCUUGGUAUGUUUUUACUUCCAAAUUGUUGUUUAUGCUGCUGAUUUUAUAUUGACAGAAUAAGUAAUGACAUCUCAACAAAUCAUGGUAUUGAGAGCUUGUUUGACAUUUAUCAAACACAGCAAAGAAAUUGAAUUUUAUGAAAUUCCUAUAGCACCCUAUAAUUUGUACCAAAAAAUCUCUGCACCUUUGGCAUGCUGUAUGGUAUGGAAGUAUAGCUGUCUCAGAGAGGUUACUGUUAUUUACUUUAUUUGGUUUUGUAGUAUUGAUGUUAAGUUUGAUUUAAUAAUGUAGGAGCUACUAAAGCCACUUAAAAGUGUUUUACCCUGGAUUCGAGAAGUUGUUUCAUGGGAAAAACCAGCAACCACCCUCACUGUGAUUGCAACAACUCUACUAAUAGUGUACAAGUAAGUCAGUGCUCCCUCGUAAUUUUCUUAUAUACGGAAAUUUUUUUGAAAGUGCAUGUUGAUCAAGAACCACUUCAUUACUUGGCCUAUUAAUGUGUAAACUUUGCAAAUGACUAGUAAACUAUAUAAUGGCAAUGUAGGGAGUGGGUAGGCCAGGCUAUAGCUGCUUGUUUGCUCACCAUCGUGGUGAAGAUGCUUCAGGCAAGAAAAAAAAGGUUGACAGACAAAUGCAAUGAGAUAGUAGUAUGCACUGCUUCAGAUCAGAGCACCGUGGAGAGCAUUGUGUCGGCUCAAUACAGUUUGAUAACUAUUCAUGAGAUGUUGCAGGCAGCAAACAUUAUGAUUUUGAAGAUAUGGUCGAUAUUAAUUUCAAAGGCCCGCAAGGUACUCAUUUUGAUAACCUAUGCUUUCAGCUUAGCAAUUAAAUAUCGUUUUCAAUCAAUAUUGCUUAUUCGUCGUUAGCUGAAGUUCGUUUACCUACUACAUUUGUUGGAUGUCUUCAAUUAUUGAGGAGUCUUAGUUGCAUUUCCAAAUUGUUCUAAAUCCUCGUUUCAUUUAAUGGGUUGCAGCAUGCGGACACGGUUAUGGUGGCAUUGACUGGGUUAGCAAUAGUAUUAGCAGUUGUUCCAUUCAAGUAUAUUGUCAUGGGAGGUGUGCUGUACGGCUUCAUUAUGAACUCGAAGCCAAUGAAGUACCUGGGAAACAACUCAAACGACCAAAGCGGCAACAGACGUCUAAAAGAAUGGUGGGAGUCAAUCCCUAUUAUUCCUGUUCGCGUCGUGGACAAGCUUCCUGAGUGCCCAAAAUAAUGUGUCGGCUCCUGCACAAUCACAGUUGCCUAAAUCCUCUGUUUCUGAACUUUUGUUAUCAACUUACUGCACGAUAUACACUUCUGAGUUUGCUUUUGCCAUCAGAGUAGAACUGUAUCUGAAACACAGCAUACACUUAAAUGCUCAUUACAAAUUUGGAGAAAAGCACAAGUAGAAAAGGAUUGAAGACAUUCAGUAACGUUGAAAUUCUGCAUUUUCUUUAAUUUUUGUUAUGAACAAGUUUCUUAAUUAUUUGUUCUCUUGAUGUAAAAUAGCAUAUUGCUGGGAGUAAUGAAGAUGUGACUGUGCUUUUCCUAUUAGCAUGUUAAUAAAAGCAAAAUGGAAAAUUAUUAGUUACGUCCUCUCGUUUUGCGGCUUAUUGAGCUAACAAGUAACUUCUUCAUUACUAGCGUGCAAGUUUGCAACUAGUGAAUCUCAAAUAUAACUCUACCCAAUGGAUGGAUGUACGAUGGAUGUACCUACCCAAUCAUUUAUUUCUCAUUAAAUCUGUUAAAACAGAAAAAGUCCCGACGUCAUAUUCUUCGCGCCUUUUAAAAAACGACACGUGUCGUAUCCCACUACUCGCGUGCUGGAAACUUUAACCCACUCUGACUGCGUGACAGCAGAUCAUUCCCAAUUCAUUUCAGUUUCACUGUCACUUUCACUCCUCCUCAGGCGCCUUCCGACAAACAGGAAGAAUGCAAACUUGAAAACCCCCAAAAACCCUAACGUUCCCCCGGAGACCCUAACCCACCAUAAACCCUGGCUCUUAAUCCUAGCCACUAUGAGCGACCAAGACGAGCAAUCGCGAGCUCAGAAAGCCGCCCAGUUAACAAGUCCGCUCUCAUCCUCUCUCUCGAACCUUUCUUCUUCUUCAAGAAGCAUCCCCUCUAAUCAAGAUUUCCAUUUCUUCUACAAUUUCCCUGAAUUCAAUCAACCCGUCCAAGAAAUCGCGAACCAAUCGCAGCUCCUCCUACAAUCCAUCGGCUCAUCGGAGAUUUUUAACCAACCGAUCAAUUUUCCUGAUGAGGUUGACAUCUCGGACGCCUACGACUGGCUUGUCGACGUAAACGACAACGUUUUCGAGCGUAUGGAUGUUUCUUUCGACGAAUUUAGUAAAGUAAGAGGGGAAAAUGGGGAAGGAGAUGGAAAUGAAGGUGGCUUUCAGUUGGUUUAUGGGAAGAACAAGAAGAAGGGCGACAUUGUGGGUGGCUCUGCCCCGGCCAGUGUGAAAGUGAAGGACAGGAAAGAGAAAAGCAAGGUGCCGUUUCAUAUAUCGACUAUAACAAAACCGCAAGAGGAGUACAAGAUAGUUGUGAACAAUGCGAACCAGCCGUUUCAGCAUGUUUGGUUGCAGAAGAUUGAGGACAGUGGACGGUUUAUCCAUCCUCUUGUAAGUUUGUUAUUUUUUGAAUAUUUUGAUAUUGGAUUUGACUUACUGGGUUUGUUAAAUUUGUAAUCUGAAAAUAGUACCUUUCUUAGGGACUUUUUAGUGAUCAAUUAUUUCUUUCAUUUUCUUUUUGGGUGGUUUGUGGUAUAUGUUUACGCUUAUCUUGUUUGGAAUUUGUGUGCAAUUCUUAUUAUUCAUGCGAGAAUUUUAACACUAUCAUGUGGUUCAUGCUUGCCAAAAAUAUACCAAAACACUUUUGCUUAUUGCUAUUGCUUUAUUUGUACAGGACAAUCUUUCUGUUUUGGAUUUUGUUGAUAAAGAUAUAGGGGAUGUGGAACCUGUAAAACCUCCCUCGUUGGAGCAGACACCAUUCAAGCUUGUGGAAGAAGUUAAAGAUUUAAAGGAGCUAGCUGCUAAAUUGAAGAGCGUAGAUGAGUUUGCGGUAAAGUCUGACUUCUGUGAUUAUGUUUUAUUGAUAAAUAAUGCCGUGGUUCAGCCUUACUGCAGUAGUUUCUUUUUUUCAGCCUUUUGAUUUCUCUUUUCUGAUGGGGCAUUUCAUAUACAGAACUGAACACUGUCCUAUGUAGAGGAUAUAGUGUAGUUAAGGCACAUGUCACCGAUGUCAGCUACUUCAAAAUUAUAUAGUGCUGGAUGUGGUUUAAGCCAAUAAGACAAGAAAGGGGUGUGGCCGCCUAUGAAGAUACAUACAAAUAUGUUAAUAUUCGAAACAUAUACAAAGAAAUGUGCCUGUAAUAGUUUUCCUGUCUACGUAAAGUAGUAAACCAGCUGUCUAUUUAAUCUUGAUACAAGUUUUGCAUGUUUAAAAAAUUAUCUUUCAUCUUUAACAGUGAGUCCAUUUUUAGCUGUAAUCCUUUUCUCAAGCAUGACUUGGUUUUGCUUUCGUUUUCAUCUCAACAGUAAACCUGUUUGCAACUAGAAAACAUUGUAAUUUUUUUGUAACUUUUCUCUAGGUCGACUUGGAACAUAAUCAAUAUCGAUCUUUCCUAGGAUUGACUUGCCUGAUGCAAAUUUCCACCAGAACCGAAGAUUUUGUGGUAGAUACGUUAAAGCUUCGCGUUCAAGUUGGGCCAUAUCUUAGGGAAGUUUUUAAAGAUCCUACCAAGAAAAAGGUUGGUCCCUUCAACAUGCUCUCGCGUAGCUUUGUGAUAAAUCUUAUUUUUUCCCCCCCAAAUUAUGUUAACUUUUACUUUACUAGGUGAUGCAUGGAGCAGAUCGAGAUAUUGUGUGGCUUCAACGGGACUUUGGCAUAUAUUUGUGCAAUAUGUUUGACACAGGACAGGUUUUAUCCCUUGAAACUCUCUUUGAAAUUUGAGACUUUAUUGAUGAUCUUGUCUGGUUUUUUGUACAAUGGUUAAAUUUAUCUUAUCUUAUCUGCUUUUUUGUGGUCUAAUUUAUGAGUGUUGAUGCAAGCCUUUAUUCUACUAAAUUAGUUAAAUUGAGUUAUCUUUUGAUACUGUAUUUUCAAUUUUGUAAUUCAUCUUAUGUGUUUGAGUCAAGGUUUGGCUUCAAAAAGCCUUGUCAGUUACAUGUCAUCUCUCCCUUAAUUUUUUCAAAGUAGCUUCGCUUGUCAUUUGAACUAUUUGUAUCAUUAUUUUCAAUUUUGAUGUGGAACUUCCCCCAUUUAUUAAUGUUCUUUUGGUUGUUUUUGUGUAAUGCUCUUUUGUAAAUUUUACCGUGGCAUUUAUUUUGUUUUGCAUUUCAAAUAAUAGUGAGAAUUGCUUUUUUCAGUCCUAAGUUUAUUGGUUUAUUGUAAAUAUACUGUAUAUUUAUUUUGGUUUGCAUUGGGAGAUGAUCGUGGGAAUUUGUUUCUGUCUUUUCAUAAGGCCUCAAGAGUCUUGAAAUUGGAGAGAAAUAGUUUGGAGUAUCUUCUACAUCACUUUUGUGGAGUUAAUGCCAACAAAGAGUGAGUCCUUUUGUAAAGUACCUGAUCUGUUUCUCCUUAUAGUUUCCGCCCUUCAUCAUCCUAAGUCAACUCAUUGCAGAUACCAGAACGCAGAUUGGAGAGUACGUCCUCUUCCCGACGAGAUGCUGAGGUACCUUUGGUUCUCUUUUUAUCUUCUUUGUAACCUACUUUUCUAAUGAGUUCUCCAAAAAAAAAAAAAUUAUGAUCUGUUUGGCAUGAAAAUAAUUACUACUAUUUUAAAGUUCUUGUAUUCUUUGGAAAAGCAGAAAUCAUAUAUCAUCAUUUAAGUGUUUGGGGUUUCAUCUUUGCCUGUAUUUUUGUAGAAACUAAUAAUAUUUUUUUUUCUGUGGCUUAGGAUUUGAAUUGUGGGAAUAUCUAUGUUGGAAAUUAAUAAUGAGUGCACAUUGACUCUUGAUAGUGGACAAAUAUUUGGACAGCCAGGAAGGGGAAGGCCAACAAAAGUUUUGGGUUUUUAUAAGUUGAAGUUAUGAAUGGUUUUAUAAUUAAUUAGGUAUAGGUUUCCUCAUUUGGGUAUUUCUGGGAGAUCUGGGUUAUAAGAUUGAGAUAUUCCAGCCUGUAUAGAUAAUUGUAGGGUUGCCUGUGUUUGUGAUAUUCCAGCGCGUUUAUUAUUACUACUUCUUAUAUAUAUAAAAUUUUAGACUCUUUCCAUGUCUAACAAGAAGUUUUCAUGAUAUCACUUGGAUCCUACUCAUGCAGACUUGUAAGGCAUCCUUAGGUGCGGUUAUGUGAUCUGGUUUUUAUAAAUAUUUUUAAAUUUUUUGUCAGAGACAAUGCCUGUAGUGACAAUGUACUGACUUAUCUUUUGGUUAUUACCAAGCUGAAUCAGGUUGCCUGUGGUUUAUGACCAUACCAUUUGGUCUUAUAAAAUGUUCUUCCCUUCACCUCAUGUUCUCAUACUUUAAAGCAUGAAUAAUAUCUAAGGGCCUGAGAUUAUUUCAUUAAUUUUUCCCAAGUCUAGAUCCUUCCCAGAGAAAUGGAUGGAUUACCCACACACUCACCAGUAACAUGUCGUACUUUAUGACGGUUUUGCAUUACUGCUGUAUGUCAUUUAAUUUGCCCUUUUGAGGAUUCUUUAUUUUCUCUGGGCUGAUGUUACUUUGUGGUGCUUUUUUUUCCUAUUUAGUCAAAAUAUAUAUUCAUCAUAGAGUUUCUCUGUUAGAAUUUUCUUAGCUUUGAGGAUUCGUUAGUGGCAUAUCAUCCAAUUGAUUAUACUUGUGAUGACAGAUACGCUAGAGAAGAUACACACUAUCUGUUGUAUAUAUAUGAUAUAAUGAAAAUCAAGUUGUCCUCAAUGCCCAAGGAGUCUGAGAAUUCUGAUACUCCCCUGACAGAGGUAUGAUUUUUGCUUAACUGUUGGUGUUGUUUUGUAAAACUGUUGGGCAUCUCUAUGAUUAUAGAGAAUCCAUUUUUAAAUGCUUUUUUCAGAUCUUGUUGUGCCAUGUAUGACAGACCAUUGCGUCUGGAGAUUGGCAUGGAGCUUAAUAAUUACAAUGUUAAAAAUAGAACAUAAAAUAUUGGGAAGUAUCUAUCAUGACUAAUUCUUCAACUGUUUAAGGAAGAUAGUUUAAAUCCGAAUAUCCUUUUUUGGAUUGUGGACUAAAGAAAAUUGUCAACUCUUGAUUUCUCUUCCCAAGGAUGAAGACGUAUCAGUCUGUUGGCAAACACAUUUUUUGAAUUUUACUUUAGUUAUCUAUAAUUUUACCAUAUUGAGCAAACAUUUUGUUGCAAACAGGUCUACAAGCGCAGUUAUGACGUAUGCAGGCAGCUGUAUGAGAAGGAGCUUCUGUCAGAAAAUUCUUAUCUCCACAUUUAUGGGUUUGUCUUUGUCCCUAUUCAUCUCAGUUUAAGUUUUCAUUUAGUGGCCUCGCCUGUUUAAAAUCUUCUCUCAUACAGUUUUUGUUUGUUUCAUUCUUUACUUAGCAUUACUUCUCUUGUUUAAUUUUAGUUCUAUUUUGGACUUCGUAUUUAUGUGAUUUGACAGAACUUAAUCAGUGGAGCUUAUUUCUCUAUGUUGAAAUAGGUUGCAGGGGGCUGGUCUCAAUGCUCAGCAGCUUGCUGUUGUUGCGGUAUGUCAGUUCUUCAUGUGUUUUUCAAACUUUGCCACUUUUCUAUCUGGAUAUUAUAUGCAUGAGGAUGCUACUGAAAAUGUAUUAUCCGCAUGUUUUGUUUACUAGUUGCAUCUUCAAAUGAAACAAAGUCUUGACCCAGAAGAAUCCGUAACGCACCAAUAGUCACUAAUAGGAUUGUCUUGAGAAAUUUACUUCUAAAUUUUUGAGUGGAUGAUAGAAGGGUGGAUUUUAAGUAGCUGACACAUCAUUGCCAACUGCUGAUAGAGUCUGUUGCAUACUUGAGUAUUCUUGCUAGUUCUGGCCCCAUUGAUCCCACUUCAAUGAUUUGCAGGGUCUUUGUGAAUGGCGAGAUGUUAUUGCUCGUGCAGAUGAUGAAAGUACUGGCUAUGUAUUGCCAAACAGAACUCUGAUUGAAAUUGGUAGAAACCUGUCUGAAUUUCCUCCAACUCUCUCUUCUAUAUGUAUAUAAUCCAUUUGGUGAGUUAUGAGUUAAUCAUAUUUUCCUUUUGUGGUAAAAGCCAAACAGUUGCCUACUACUGCUGCCAAGUUACGUCGAUUGUUGAAAUCAAAGCACUCAUAUAUUGAACGCUAUAUGGGUCCGGUACUUAGCAUCAUAAAAAAUUCUAUGCAAAAUGCUGCUAAUUUUGAAGUCAUUGCUCAAAAAUUGAAAGAGGAACGUAUGGAAGUGGUAAGACCUGCAUGCUCAUGUUUGAUUGUUUUGUUAUAUCAGUGAUCCAAAUUGAUUAUUUUUCUUUGAGAAUUUGAUGUUAAUGCCUUCAAUGGAUUGCCAACAUACAUUGAUUUUCUUUUUCUUUUCCUUGGAUUUCGUUAGAAUCAGACCAACCAUCUUUUAAACGAGGAUGAUGGUCCAAAACCUUAAGGUCUACUACGAUGAAUUGCUACUUUUUGUGCAAGUUCUUGUAAUUCACUCAGCUGGUUGUCUUCGGCAAAUGAAAGGAAAAAGGAAAUUCAUCCAAUCCAGUUCUAUUGAAGAAAAAGAAUCCUAGUUGAUCUUACAAAAUUAAGCUUUCAUAAUUUGUUAACCCAUGGAAUGUGAUUAAAACUCAUGGACAAAGGAUGUUCCAGUUGAGAAAGGGAUUUGAGUGAUUUUUAGCAAUUAUCAGUGAUGUCUUCAUUAGAAGUAAGUUUAUGGUUUAUAGCAGUAAAUGCUCAAUAAUUAGGUACUCCUUGUAUAUUGGCUGACCGGGUCCCAUGUUUGUAGUAGGUUUUGUGAGCUACAGAGGAUUAACUUCAGUCAGUUUUCCAUGUUAUGGCUGUUAAGAGCUAUGUCACCAUUUUUCUUUGUUUACAUCAAACUAAUCUUUUUUUUUCCCCCCAUUUUUCCUUAUUUGUGUAGGCAUCAGAAGAAACUGAAGUUUUAGUUCUUGAUACUUCCUCAAACUUGAAAAUUCCGAAUGUUGGAAGGGAGAGUGUUGAUGGUGUUGAUGCAUUAGUUGGUACCACGAUGCCUCACCCACCAGCUUACACCCAGCUGAAACAAGAGCCUCCAAAGGUUGGAAGCAGUGUCGCAGAACUUGACAGAAAUGGACUAGGGUCUUUUGCGCAUCCUGGAGAAGCAAUUGCUUCAGAAAAUAAAGAAGCUACUCAUAUUUCAACACUUUCCAGCUCUGGUCAAAGUAGAGACUUGAAUGCUUGCAAGUCACCUUCACCAAGGGUUGUGAAUUUGAUGCCUUAAUGUGGAUUUUUUUUUUUUUUGGUUAAGAGGUUUAGCAUUCAAUUUCUUUUUCUUUGGUUGUGAAUUUGAUGCCUUAAUGUGGAUUGGAUUUUUUUUUUUUUUGGUUAAGAGGUUUAGCAUUCAAUUUCUUUUUCUUUAUAGGUUACUGAAGCUGCUGUUCAGGCUCUAAAGAAGCCGAACCGUGGUUUUGGAGCACUGCUGGGUAACCCAAAGAGAAAGUUUGAUGGCGAGAAAAAGGUGAGUUAAUCAUUUGCUAGUAAUGGUUGUUAAACAUCUGCUAUGUCAUUGUCACAUAGCAAAAUAACUAUUUCUGAGGCCUGCCAGUCACCCAGUUUGUGCAUGUGUGGUUGGGAAGAAGGCAACAAAGGAAGAAUAUAGUUAAACAUUUGCUAUGUUAUUCUUACAUAGCAAAAUAACUACUACUGAGGCCUGCCAGUCAGCCAGUCUCUGCAUGUUGGUUGCAAAGAAGGCAACAAAAGAAGAAUGUUUUUUUUUUUUGAAUCUUCAUUCCAUGAUUCACUUUCUUUUCAAUUUUUCUUGUCAACUAGCAUGUACAUUUGCCUUCUUGUUGCCUUUUUCGUUGCGUGAGUCAUUAUGAAUUAUGAUUUAUAUUAUACGGAAAUUGUGAGUGGGCAACUGUUGGGCUAUAAUCAAACAUGCAAAAUUUCGGGUCCCAUGACUAAGCGCUGCUAUCAUCUGGAUUUGUGUGUUGUUGCAUUUUAUAUUUGGUUAACACCCUUCUUAUUAUCCUCCUUUUGAUUGUUUGUUUGUCUUAAUUAGGACAAGGAAGCUAUGAAACUAGAGCAGAUUAAAUCCUCAGUCAAUCUUCCAUUCCACUCAAUUUUUGCAAGAGAUGAACAGUUAAAACCAGUUGAUGUGAUGAAGUCUGAACCAAAUAAGCCUGACAUUCCAUUUCCUUCAUCUUUUGGUAGUGGGCAACAAACGAAACCAAUCAUAGAGGAAUCCAAUAGAGUUACAGUAGUUUCCCAAUCAGAAGAACCCGCUCCGGCUGCUAGGUCUGAUACAGAAGAUAUUAUUACGUUGGAAGAUGAUAUAGAUGAAGAGGAACAAAACCUUGGUAAUUUGGAAACUGCAAGUGCGCCCGGAGAGGACGGUUCUGCAGGGUCUGCUUUGGAAAUGGGUAAACAAGAUGAGACCAUGUCUCUCUCUGAUUUAUCAACUAGUUUCCAGGAGUGCUUCCACUCUGCUAACAACAAUAGAAAACCUGGAAAGCCUGAGAGAUCUGAAGAACCUAGUGGUUUUUUGCAGCUUAAGCCGUUUGACUUCGAAGCAGCUAGGAAACAGAUCGAGUUUGGAGAAGAUGCCAAAGAAAAAUCAGCUGGGGUUGAUGGAAACAAAAGAAAACCAGUGAACUCUGGAGAUAAGAAAAAAGUUUCAGCUGUAGAUCAAGCUCAAAAAGAUGAUGGAACAAAAGAACUGUCACAAGGUAGACGACGUUCUGCUUUUCCUGCAACUGGAAAUCGAAGUGCAACAUUUCGCUGAGUCUCUGGUAUCAAUCAUGCUGCUCUGUGUAGCAGAAAUUAGUUGAAUUUUGGAUUUUCACAAUCAUGUUCUUGAUUUAAAUGGAAAUUAAUGCUGGUGGACAAAUUCGCAAUGGUUGUACGUAUAUUUCCAUUGCUUGAGGUCUUGUCUGAUACAGCAUGAGCUAACCUGAUCAUCUUUUGAUAUUCAGUAACAGGAGAGAUGUAUGGUCUGCAGGAGCCAAUGAUGGGCAAGUGAUACCUGAGGCCGGUGUCUAUUUGAAGGUAAAAUGGGCGAUGGUUCUAGGUUUCAUAUUAGGUUUUUGAUAGUCUUGAGUAAUUGCCCUACUAUCUUCAUAUUUAAAAAACAGGAUGGUUUCAAACCAAAGUGCGGUUUGUAAUCAAAAGCAUUUGAUCUUUUUGUUUUUGUAACUUUACGGGUUUUAUUUUUAGAAAAAUGGUUCUGUACUAUGGUUUAUUUCUGCCUUAUUUGAUAUUGUGGUCAUCUUAGGCUUUAUUUAGUGUAAUUUUUCAGUUAUAUGUUCGUUUGGGAAGAGGAAAUGAAGUUAAUUUUAUUUCACACUUGCAUAAGAAAAAAUUGUAAUGUUUAUAUUAUUUUUGUUAAAAUUAUUAUUUAAAAAUUAUAUUUGAUAUCUAUUAAUAAUUUUUAUUAUAAUUAUAAUUUUCUUUUUCCUCCAUCAUCUCAAUUGCUUAUAACUGCUGUUGAGGAUGGUUGGUGCGAUGUUAAUAAUUUGUAAAGGGCUUAGUAACAUCUGGUUCCGUGAUGUCGGCCAAACCAUAUCGAAGGGCUUAAUUUGACGGUCAUCGGGGCCUCCUGCCCAGCUGCCCUCCUUUACGGAUUCCGCUUCCGCAAAUUAUUUUAUAUAAACUGUUGUUACAUGAUAGUGGUGGCCGGAUGAAAAUACUACAUGACCAUAUAAUGCUUUCGGUGCAAUGAGUGAAAAAGAGAAAUUUUUAUGUAUUCUCGGAUUGAAGGAGAAAUUUUAAGAUUAAGAUUGUGGAGUGGUAGCAGGAGUAAAUUAUUUACUUACAUCACUAUGAGAGUGUGGAACGAAAAUUAGAAAUUAUGUAUUUUCUUUGUCUUAGAUUGAGAGUGAAUCAUUUUAAAUUAUAAUUUUAUCCUUAUUUAAAGAAUUGUAGUUUUUAAUUAUAAAGUAAAUAAAAAAAUAUAUUUGCACAAUAAAUUAUUUAUUUUGUUAUUAAUUUUAAUUAUAUAAAUUAAUAAUAAUUAUUAUUAUUCUUAAUCAUGUGAAUCAUGAUUUUUUUGUUAAUUUUNNNNNCGUACAGCAGAAAUAAAUAUGAUAUUUUUAUUUUUAAAUAAAUGUGAUAUUAUUUUUAUUUUUAUCAAUAUAAUUAUAUUAUAUUCAAUAAGGAAAUGAUAAAAAGAAAGAAGUGGGAGUAGAUUUCUACUUUUUAUUCAAAAACAAAAAUGAGACCCACAGAGUAGAAGCCUAACUCUCCUCCUUAGAUGAGUACUAAAACGUUUAAGUAGGAGAAAUUCAUAUUUUUGACUCCCACUCUACAAAGUAAACAUAAUAAUAAUAUCAUAAUAACAUUUGAUAAUUCUAUAUAUUUGUGACGUCAUAUCUCAUCAAUUGAUUAAUAAAAUUAAAUGGUGAUUAUUUAUGAAAGAACAAAAUUAAUUCAUGUGAGUUAUGGUUAAUAAAUAAAUAAAAUAUAAAAUGUUAAAUUUUGACUAUAAACUAAUUUCAAUAUCUAAUAAUUUAAAAGCUCAAUAGAGCUAUGAUAAAAACUAAAGGGAGGAUUCUUAAUCCGAUCCGGGAUCUUAAUCAGUUCAGGACCGAUCCACUUCCAGCUAUUACGCGUCAAACAUCCAUUUGACGAUUGACGUGUCACGCCAUCUCACUGUCCUCACAAGAAAACCCGUUACCUUCAAAAUGCUCCAAACCCAUCAACGCCGAAUUCAAAUCAAGCCCCAAGACCAAAUACAAAGCAAAAACAAAUAAACAAACGUCUGUUCAUUCAGUCUGAAAAAAUCAAAAGAAGUAAAAGGAUUGGCGAUGGCGAUGGCGGUUGAAGGAGGAGGGACAUUAUCGGAGAUAUAUCAAAGUGCGAAGAAGUUGCUGUUGAGAGCGAGAGACGGAGUUGAGAAACUGGAGAGACUGGAGAGCUCGACGUCGACUGGGGGAUACGAUUCGCCGGAGCUCUCCUUCGCUGUCAAGAAAGAUAUUUCUCAGAUCCAGUCACUCUGCGUCGAGAUGGAUCGCCUAUGGCGCUCCAUCGCCGACAAGUCUCAGCGCGAUCUCUGGAAGAGGUACCUAUUCAUUUACUGUUUUGCCACGUGGCACCGAAUCAACCUUGUGUCGUGUCCUAAUUGCUCUACGCCAGUUCGGUUGCAAUUCUGUGCAUGAACCGCAAUUUUUAUACUGAAUAUUACAUUAUUGAUUUUGUCUGAGCGACAAGGCAUGCUUCCACGUUUACUUGUUGCUUAGUUUUAUUGUUUUGCCUUCUAUGUUAACAGUCUAUAUAAGUUUUAUAUGUGUUACAGGCAUGUGUAUAUAUGGAAGUACAUUAAUAGCUGUUCAUGCUGUUGCUUGCUUGAGGUCGUUGGUAUAUUUGCAUUUGGAACUAAAUGUGCUUGGUGUGGGUUCGCUAUGUGUGUGUGUGUGUGUGUGUUUGUUUGCGUUUGAUGUUAAAUGGAAUUACCUUCUAUCGAGUCAGUGCCGCAAUUUGAUUGCUUGGUUUUUCAGAGGUGUGUUUUUAUGUUAUGUCAUGCAGAAAAGUUGAACAAGUAGCAGAAGAGGCUGAAUCAUUGAAAGAGAGUCUCGAUAAGUACUUUUUAAGAAAUCAGAGACGGAUAAAUGAAGCUAGAGAGAGGGCGGAAUUGCUUGGAAGAGCUGUAUGUUUAUUCAGUUUUCGUUAGAAGUUUUGAACGGAUUCUGUAGUGUUUUUCUUGUCUGGAAACGAGAAUUAGCUUUCCAAUCUGAUGAAUUUCUUUUAUGUUAUAGAAUGGAGAGUCGUCUCAUAUUUUGAGAAUUUUUGACGAGGAGGCGCAAGCAAUGCAGUCAGUACGCAAUUCAUCGAGGAUGUUGCAAGAAUCGUUUGCAACUGGGACAGCCAUUCUUGCCAAAUAUGCAGAACAAAGGGAGCAUCUAAAGGUAUUGACACUUAAGCUCCUUGUUUACAUGCACAGUUGCACACUAGAAAUUUUUGCCAAGCUCACUCAAACUGUGUGCAAACAAAGUUCACUAAACAGGGUCAAAUGAGAAAUUUACAUUCUUGUCAUGGUUGUAUUCUUAACAUGAUUAAAUAUUUAAAUGAGAACAAUGUUAGAUCCUCAAAGCAAUUAUCUUUAAUAUUGAUUUAUACUACUGCUAUAGAAAUUAUAAGUGUUUGCAGCACCUGCACAAAUGGCUGCAGAGAAUUUAGUCUGUCUAUGGUAAUAAUUUUAAAAGCUGGUAACUCCAAAUAUUCAACAGUGGCUGACAAAAACAAUCCUCAAGUUUUAAAGUAAAAGCAAACUUUGCUUUGAAAUAAUCAGUGACAACAAUGACGUGAAAGUGUCACCAACUGUUUAUAUAUAAUAUCUCCAAUAUUCCAGAAUUUAGUUUCAUAAUGGCUGGCAAAGACUUGGUUUUUUUAAGGUUUAAAGUAAAAACGAUCUCUGCUUUGAAAUGUUCAGUGGCAACAGUGAUGUAAAAUGAUCAGCAACUGUUCAUAUCUAGUAUCUCCAAUGUUUAGAAUUUUGUUUAAAAGAUCCGUUCCAUCCAUAAAAAAAUUUCAUUCUGAAUAAGCAACUCAAGAUUACACUUCGCAAGAACACACCAUCUACCAUUUCUCACAAAUUUAAAUGUCACAACCUAUGAUCCAUUACCAAUUGUGAGAAACGGCAGAUUAUUUGUUCUAAUGAAGUGUAAUUUGAGUUGCUUAUUUAAAAUGAAAUUCUUUUAUGGGUAGAAGGGAACUUCUAAACGAAGUUCUAGGAAUCAAAUUAGCUGUUUAGAUUUGAAUAGUUGGUGAUGCUUUGAUGUCACUGUUGCCACUGAUUCUUCUCGAAAAGAAACAGAUUUUUAAAUGGUAUUAUAGAGGUCACAGAAAAAAAAUAGUCAUGCUAUCAUUGAUAGCACUUGCCACUGAUGUUGAUAAUGAGUUUAACUGAUUAACUUCCAUCUUUGGUUCAGAAAGCACAAAGGAAAGCUCUGGAUGUUCUCAACACUGUGGGUCUGUCCAAUUCAGUAUUGAGGCUCAUUGAGAGGAGGAACCGUGUCGAUACAUGGAUCAAAUACGUAGGAAUGGUUUCUACAGUGGUCAUCUUAUAUUUCUUCUGGAGGUGGACUAGGUGAUCCGAUCUUCAUACUUAGCCACGCAUAGAUCAUUAAUCCGCAUACUUUGGAAUGAUUAAGUUUUGUUCUUGAUAUUUGCCCCAUAAGAGGGUUAAUGAGGAUGUACAAGGCAUUCUUUGAUGAGAGACUAUCCUCUUAUGAGGAUGUAUAAAGCAUUCUUUGUUAAGAGACUAACUCGUAUAGGACGGACUCCCAAAGAAGGUUCUUUGCAAUUCUUGAACAUUUAGAGCGAAGUUGACGAAACGUGCUAGUUGUUUUUGUAUUUUGGCAAAAGGGGAAUUACAGAGUUCGAAGAUUCUAAGAAAUGCGCCAAUUUUGUUUUGUUGUCAGAACGCAAAAACGGCCUGAUUGUGGACGGUUAAAUCCGGAAUUAUGUAGUGGAUUUGCAGUUAUUGAAGGGCAUGCUUGGGAAAAUAAUAUGGUCAAAUAAAAUCAAGAACAAUUAUAUUGUAUCUGCUGUUUAUGCGUCCGUACUUGAAGGUGUCCACGUGGCUGGUGUGUGUUUGUUAAACCAGUAAAAUUAAGUAGUGCGAAGUUCUGAUCGCCGCUCAUUGAUUGUUUUUUUUUUUAACUUUAAAUAAACUAUGAGAAAAGGCUUUGAAUGAGUCGCAGAUAAAUUAAAGUUUUUUUUUUCUUCUUCUAAAUUUAUAUCCAAUGGUUCGGCACAUGUUAUUUUCUUUAUUUUUAGUGCACACGGUAAACUAUUGAUAGUAUUUGGUGUAAACUCACUUUCAAAUCGAUGCUUCACGAAAAGUCCAAAUGACGCGCUAUGAAAGUAAUAUAGAUAACUAGGAUAAGUGGAAAUGAUAAACGAAUAAAAUGAAGUAAAAAGAAUUUUUCAUUUUUAAGGGUUACAAAAUAAGAAUAGUUAAUUACUUAAUUAGUUGACUUGCUAAAAAUUUUUCAUGCAAACAAAUGGUCUGGACUGGAAUCCGUUUAAAUGGAUAGGAAGAAAAUUAGAGUGUCGUAAAAGUACUGGAGUUUCAAAUCCCCUCACGUAGUCACAAGGAUUAGAAGAAAAUUGAAUUGUUAGGCAAAAUGAAAAAAAAGAAAAAAGCUUAACAUUUUUAUUUUCUAAAAAAAUGUUUUUCUUAGUUGUUUUGUUUUUUAAUUUUAAAUAUAUUUAAAAUUUUGAAAUUAAUAAAUGACUUUGAAAACUUGAGUGUGCUCGAGCCUCGAGAUCUACUCAAAUUCUUUUACAUUAUUACAUUAUGAAAAAUUGUAUGAUGUCGUGAUUAAACUAUUGUAUCAAUACUAUGAUAAACAUAAAUUUUAGAAAUUAUAUAUAAGACUAGUAAGUGAAAUGUAAAAUAAAUUAAUUAAUAUAAGAGUGGUAAAUAAUGUUUUAAAAUUAUAAACAAAACAAACACUUAUAAAAAUAACAUAAAAAUUAUAAAUCAACAUUAAAUUUUAAUGUAAAAAUAGUUUAUUUAUUUAAUUUAUUCAAGCAAAGAAAAACUUUACUCAUCAAUUGAAAACAAAAAUUUUGUAUUGAAAACAAUGGGAAUAAGUUUUAUUAAUUGAUUUAACCAUGAAUUUUAUAUUCAUGUCAGGAUAUUUAUAAACUGUUUUUUUUUUUCAUUUUCUAUCAUAGUAUUUGUUUACUAUACAAGUUGAUUAAGUAAACUUAUUAUUAUUAUUAGUAUUAUUAUUAUUAUUUAUGUGGAUCAAGCCAAAACAAAAUAAAAAUACAUUUGAAUAUUACUAGACAUAUAUGGAAUAUUAAUACAAUUGAAUCUAACUUUCAGUUUUAUACAUAAUUCAUCUAGUUUCAAAUUUUACUUCUUAUACUAAAAGAUCAUUUGAGGUUGCUAUCGAGGAGGUUUAAAAUGAUGCAAAAUCACUUAUAUCACAAAUAAAAUAUGAAAAAAAAUUUCUAAAAUUUGAUUUUGAGAGUAAGUUUUAUCCUUAAUAAAAUUCCACAUAUAUUAUCACGUCUAUUACAUAACCACAGAAUUAUCAUUAUUUGAUUUAGAAAUAAAAAUAGUAAAUAUAUAAUGUAAUCAUUAUUAUAGUGAGUUUUUAUUUAUUUUUUCAAUAACUCUUAUAAUAUUUACUUAUUUUACAUUCAUUUACAACUCUUCUAUUUUACUUUUAUAAUUUAUAUGUUAUUUUACACUUAAUGUUGAUGUACAAGUUUUAUAUCACAUUUGUAAACAAGUUUUACUUUAUAUUUACAUGUAUUAUGUUUUAUUUACUUAAUUCAUGUUUUAUUUUAUACUUAAUGUUGAUUUACAAGUUUUAUAUUAUAUUGAUAUAAGUUUUUAUUUUAUUUACUAAUGAUAUAUCAACUUACCACUGUUAAUUUACUUAUUUUACCUUCAAUUUGCAAGUCUUGUGUUUCAUUUACAUAAUUUAUUAUGUUUUAUUUUACGUUUAAUGUUGAUUUACAAGUUUUAUGUUAAAUUUACACCUCUUAUAUUUUAUUUACACAAUUUAUGUUCAAUUAUAGUAUAUUAUAGAAUGACUCAUUUGACAUUACAAUACAAAAUUAUAAACAUAAAUAGAUGUAUCAAAAAGUCUUGUCGAAAAAUGAAUCCACCUUAAUACGGACCUGUCUCAUUGUUUUAUAAUUAAAGUUGCACACUCUUACAAUGAACUUGAAGAAAUUGAAUUCUCAACAUCAAUAAUGAGGUGUCUAUUACUAAUAAUAGUUUAUAAAAAAAAUAAAAAAAAUAAAGAAAUAUGAUUAAAUUGAUCAAUGUAAUUUUAUUAAAAAAAAGAAGCAUUUUUAUUACAAAAGCAAUCUCAAAAUAUAUAUUUUUUGUAGUUACAAAAAAUCAUGACCUAGUGGCGACCUAGUGGCGACCUGGUGGGCGUAUAUACAAAAAUCAUAAUAUUUUUAUACUGAUUACAUAAAUUCGGUGAUCACAGACCACAGUAAAACCCUGAAACCGCCCAACGGGGUUCUUUACCAGAGGAAAAAAGGGAGGAAAGAAAAUGACUUUUUAAUAUAACGGCACGGGUUUAAGCCAAAAACGGUGGAAUCAAAUCAUUGACACGUUCGUGCGAUGCCUUCACUCCUCAGGCAAACCAGACUCCCGCAUGUGAAUGCCACGUGAACGUAGCUUCUUCACAUAAUUUUUACCCCAAUGUCCAAAUUACCCCUUAUCUUUUACUCCUUUUUUUUUCUUUUUAACUUUGCCCGAUUUUGAAGUCUAUUACGUAUUGCGGACUGCUGCCCUCGCUUGACGUGUUUUUUCUCCUUUUUUUUUUUUUUCCCUCUCCAAACUAUUCUUUUCAAUUUUAACUAAAUAAUUUUUUUUUUUAUUACGAACAUCAACUUAAAAUUUAGGUUAGUUAGACACUUCCCCACUUCAUCCUUAAAGUCAAGUAUUCAUAUCUAUCUGUCUAUGGUGAAUAAUUUUUUUUAUUUUUUAAACUACGAACAAGUUAUCUUUUUUUUUUUUCUUUUCCAAUAUCACUAUUUAUCCACUUUUAGUUUAAUUCUUUCUGCCUAAGAUGAUCAAUUUAAAUUAAAAAUGGGAUUUUGAAAUUAUUUACUAAAAAUCAUGAUUGUUCUUUUGACGUAUUUGAAUAAAGUUUAUUUGGAAAAAUUAAUGUAAAAAAAAAAAAUGUUGGAAGAUUACGACAAUGGAAAUGUAGUCUCUGGUGAAAUGCUCUGAUUCAAUCAAUCAUCAGCAAAUGCGGUUCGCACGUUGGCAAUGGAACUCGUGAUAGCACAACCGUGAAAUGUCCUUCAUUUGGGAGUCCACGUUAAUCACAUGUGGGUCCAUCUUGAGUGCUUUUGUGCUUUACAAUUAAAAUAGACAGACAGGCUGAUGACCUGACAAUUUCGAGCCUGAUAAAGCCCCUUCAUCAACUUGAUCAGAAGGACAGGACAGCUAUUAAUAGAAAAAAGCAGCAGACUAGUACUAAUCGAGAAGUCAAACAGAUAAAAACUAAAACUAAAUAAUCUAAUCUCCUCCUAAUUCACUAAAUUAUUUUAUUUCUAUUGGUAUAAUUAAUUAAUUGAUUGAUUAAUCAAACAUGCCUUCACAAUUAAAUAGUUUCAACAGUGUAAGUUGAACCACGUGUCAAGCAAAAGCAACCAUCAUUUAUUAUAAUUUUUUUUUAUUUUUUUCGAAAAAGGAAAAAUCAAAAAACAAGGCAAGUUGAUGCCAACAGGAUCUGAUCCGGAAGGGUAACCGAGUCAUUUCGCCGUCAUGCAUGCCUCAAUCCGGAUUGCCUGCCCGCCCCCACGUUGGAAAACCAGGGACGCAUCGAUAAGCAGUUUCAACACCCAAAACACAAACUUGGGGGCGGGAAUUGCAAAACGAAAUAACAGCUUUUGCUUUUGCUUUAAUUUUUUUCCGUUUGUUUUCUUAAAAAGAAAGAAAAAAAAAAAUACUCCCAGUUCCACAAUAGAGCCCCUGGUUUUGCCUAUUUCUUUAAUCCUUUUACGCAGACUCAUGAUAAAUAUCUCCAUCUAUCAGUCAGUCCAUACGGUUUCCUUUCAUCACCAACCCCACCAACGAAAACAAAAAAAACAAAACAAACCCCCUCUUCAGAAAUAUAAUUAUAAUUUUCUUUUUCUAUUGAAUUAAGCUUGUUGGGUAUAAUUUGCUAAUUAAUCAAAGAUCGAUCUAUGACGACGGAAGCGGUCAGCAAGGUUGGAUAUGCGCAUAGUAAGGUUGCUAUGAAGAAGAAGAGCGGUUAUCGAGGUCGAUGCAGGAGAAGAAAUCACGACAGAUAUGCACCCGAUAAUAAAACGGUGCCGAUGGCGCUGCAGCGUCUGUUUCUUUCUUGCAAAGACGUCUUCAGAGGCCCUGGAACCGUUCCCGCUCCUUCUCAUGUCCAAAUGUUGUGCUCUAUUCUUGGUAAGUGUUUUUUUUCUUACACUUCAUCAUUUCUGGUCCAAUUUUCUUGUUUUUCAUUUGGCCGCUGCACUCGCAUGACGUGUAUGUUGUGAAAUCUGAACCCAUCAUCAUCCUUCAUCCAUGCACAUAUAUAUUAUCAGUCAUGAGAAAUUUUGAAUCAGCCAUUAAAAAAAGAAAAAAAAAAAGAAAAGGAAAGAUUCAAUAUUAUCAAAUCAAUACCAUUUUGUUUCAUGAGAUGAUCUAUGAAAGAUGGGAAAGGAGCACUGCUCCUUAUUUCAUUUCCUGUCACGUCUGUGUUUCAAUCAAUUGUAAUAAUACAUAUAGCCACGUAAAAAGCAAGGGGCAAUACUCUUUACAGCACGAAAACCUUCUCAAAAAAGGGGCUUUACUUUAUUGGCAGUAAUGAAUUGUUUUGAGCAAUUCAAUUCAUCAGUGCACUUAUCAUGUUUACGUAGUUUGUCAAUUUGGUUCCAGUUUUUGGUUCUUUUUAUUGGAUUCAGUGCCGAAAUGUCAUGUGUGUUCAUAGGACGUACUGGGAAAAGGAUUAGAAAUCUGUACUGAAUUUUUUUAAAUUUUGGGGGGGGGUUUUUUUUUGGGGUGGAUGGGGUUAUGGAUCUAAGUGGAUGGUACCAAUUUUCAAAAAUGUAGUUUAAUUAACUUUCCAGUUGAAAUUACAAAACCAAACCAUCCGAAAUGGAUUCUUCGAGAAAAGGUGGGUUCAGAAAACAAAGUGGUUGCUUCUAGGUGAAUCCAGAUUUUUUUCACGCGGACACAUGGUACCUUUUGGUUGAUUACCCAGCCACAGUGUUGCUUGAGGGGACAAAAAUAUCAUAUUUGUUUUUUUUUUUUUUUCCAAAUUCCUUUUUAAUUCGUAACUCAAUCUCAUGGGAUCCUACUCAGCAGCCAUUGUGAUUAUUUUUUUUACCUGACGACGCAAAAAUCUUUGCAUUAGAAAGGAUACAUAAGCACAUUUGCCUACUGUUGCUACGUGUACAUGUGCAAUGGUUUGGUUGCAAAACUGGAAGCAUUGGCACAUUAUAUAUAUGUGUGUUUUUUUUUUUUUAAUAUGUAUAAAUGCAUGGAUCAUGACACUUGGCUAAGUUAAAAUUUCCAUUUUCUCGUUAUCAUAAAGAUUGCCAGUGACUCAAACAAGCUUUUCUUUUUAAAUUUAUGAUGCUACAGAUGAAAUGAAGCCAGAGGAUGUUGGGCUUAGCAGUAAGUUACAGUUACUUAGUGCCAAAGAUGCAAUGAAAGGGACGCCAAUUGUCACAUCCACUACAAUAUACAAAUGCCAGAACUUUUCGGUAAAGACAUAAGCUAUUCAUAUUGGGCUAAAUUAAAUUCUUUUAUUAUCGUAUACUAAUUUGUAAACCAUACUAAUUAAUAGUGCAAAUUUGAUUUAGAACUUGAUAGAUUACCUUUUGGAUUCUCUUUUGUGCAGUUGUGUCUUUUCUUUCUUCCUCCAACUGCUGUGAUCCCCUUGCACAACCAUCCGGGAAUGACUGUUUUUAGCAAGCUUUUGCUCGGGACAAUGCACAUAAAAUCGUACGAUUGGGUCGAUCCUGUUGACGCAAACGAUUCUGCAGCCCCCACAAAACGUGAGUACCGCUUACCUUAUACAUAUAUGUCCAUGUAUAAUGCACACACGAACACACACACACACACACUCACAUAUCAAAACAACACGAUAACUUGAAUGUGCUAGCUCGGACUAGGAUGAUCAUUUGUGACUGAAAGUGAUGAUUUAAUUAAUUUGCAGCGCGAUUGGCGAAGUUGAUAGCCGACAGUGAUUUCACAGCACCUUGCAACACUUCUGUGCUAUAUCCAACAACAGGAGGCAAUAUCCAUGAAUUCACAGCCAUUACGACAUGUGCCGUGCUCGAUGUGCUUGGACCUCCCUACUCUAAGGACGAUGGUCGGGACUGCUCAUAUUACAAGGAGUUGCCACUUCCCGCGGUUCCAAGUAAGCGAAACAAAACCACUUGUUACUGAUUAAAAACAACCUCGUUUAAACCUCCUCGAGUAGCGCUUUCAGAGGUCUUACCAAUUAAACCCACCGAUUUUGUUAAUGCAGAUGGAGAGAAUCAGGAGGCAAAAGAGGAUGAUGGUGGUGAGAGUUGUAGGUGGUUGGAAGAGAUUGGGGUGCCAGAGAACUCACACAUGGAUGAAAUUGAGUACUUGGGACCGCAGAUAAUUGAGUAGUAGCUGUAACUAGCUUCAGCCCACAGUCGCGUGAUAAAAAAAAAUUUCAACGCAUUAUCUUCUUUUGUUUCAUAGCUAGUCAAUGGUUUUGUAUUUAUAUAUACACAUAUAUUACGUUGUUUCCUGACCUGAGUUUUCACUAUGUUAAUAGCAAAAUUUCAUUUCUUUUUCUUUUUUCUCUUUAAUCCCGGUAUCUUCUUUAAUAACUUGAUUACUUGAGUACACUGUACCAUUGAAAUCAUGGUUCAUGCCAUAGUUCCCUUAGAGGAAGGUCCAAACCCGGCUUAGGAGAAAUGGAGGUUUGGGCUGUCGAGGGCCUUGGUGUUGCUAUGUUCCCAAGAGAUGUUUACUUGGGCUGUCGAGCGCGCCGAGAAGUGCUUAAUAUUACAUCAAUGGGCCGGGCUUGUAACCGACUACUACACAUUCCCAUGGCGGCAAUCCUGAUCAGUAAUUAACUUGGGAUUUUGCAUUCAAUGAUUGCCACAAUAAUAUCAGCAAACUUUUCAGAAGAACCUUAAUUGAUAAUUGUCAUUUUGCAAUCAUAGGUUAGUUGAUGGAUAUACCAUGGGCCCUGAAAAUUAAUUAAAAUAUCAAACAUUGUAUGCUCCUAGGUUGGAAAUUUUUCAAAAUUUUCAAUAGAAAAAUAACCUCAAAAUCAAUAUUUUACAUGUGAAGAUCUGUUUCAUUAACAAGCGCGAUGGGCCAAACGGAGGGAGCCAGGAAUUUUAAGCUGUUCAUAUUUGACGCCCUAAUUUGGGAUUUGCUAAUACGGAAAAACUUUGAGCUGCUCACUAAUUUAUAUCUUGACUUCGAGAAUCUGCGCAAUUACUAAUUAGUAGCCAUCAAUAAUUGUCAAAAAUCAAUUUUGAAUUUCGAUAUUUUUGAAUGCAUUGGUGUUACGUGUUUCUCCAUACGCGUUAGUAAAUUUGAGAUGGUGUAAAUUUGUAAUAAACUAAUAAUAUCUUCUUUUUUUUAUAAUUUGAAAAUCAACCCAAUCUGAUUCUCUAAAUUAACAAGAUCAAAUUGACUAUCCAAUGUUCAUUCACUAGGAAAGUCCUAAAGGUCCCUCUAAACUAGAAAGUUACUCAAAUCUAUGGCCAAAAUAAAGUCUUCUUAUAAUUAAAGAAACAACCCAUCUUUUUUUAAGAUCUUCUGACAAUGAAUUUUCAAUUAUGAUGGGGUUUGAAGUUUUGAAAUUUUCUAAGAAUUAUUAACAACUGAAAAGAGAAAGCAAAAGAAAAAGGACGAUGUGAUAUGGCAUGGGACAUGGACUUCCCACCACCUUUACAUUGCCAUCAUGCAAAAAAAAAGCUCUCAAUUUUAUGCUUAGCUUGUUCUUG